rnacentral:lncRNA from 1 species
CUCAUUAGAGGAUGAAACCCAAAGUUGGAUUCCUCGAACACCUCGACAUUUCCAUGAGAAGAUUGAUGGAUCGAUUCAUCCAUUCCAAAGAUAGGAUCAACUAAUUCUACCACAAUAUAUAUCGAAAAGUGUUAUGGCUUAUAACAUCGGCAAUUACUAGCUUAUAACAUCGGCAAUUACUAGCAAUUUCAACUUUCUGUCCUCGAGUUGUAGAGAACAAUCUGAAUUGAGGCAAUCUUUUCGGAUUCGCUCCGCCUUACAACCUUGCUUCCCAUUGUCAUUGCCACUAUACAUGUGUGUGGCCCAGCCCAUAAGGGCCAUGCAGAUUUGAUGCUGAAAGACCCCUUGUAAAGCACAUAGCGCUCUCCUCUUGGGCACCCAAAAAAAAAAUAAUGGAAAGAAAGUGAGUAACCAUCCGCUCAUCCAUUUUUCUUUUUAAUUCAAUGAACUGCGCUCCGAGCAAUAAACAGACUUCAGGCAAUGGGGAUUUAGCCAUUGGUAGGCUAGAUCACAUGAUCCUGCUGACACCUUCGGCAAAAAAAAAGAAGAAAUUGGCAUUUUCCAUGGUGCUAGCGAACCAAAUACUUUUCAAUGGCGAUCAACCGCUUCUCGUGAUUGGAAGAGGGAAUCAAGCCAAUCGGAGGGACCUAAUUGUCUCAUUGCAACAUCCGCGCUCUGGGAUCGCUAGCUUAUGAAAGAUUGUAGAUCGUGGACAUCUGAUUGAGAUAGAUCGUCAUCUCUGAGUGAGCCUCUCUUUGUCGAUUAGGUAACUAUGAGAAUGCUUCGAUAUGCGAAUUCAAAGAAAAUAGGGGACAUAAGGGUUCUUAUGCAAUUGUUCUAAUCCUAUGCCUAUCACCUAACUUGUUUGCCGAUUUAUUGUAGAUAACAAAUGUGAGUGUUGCCUCACAAACCAAUCCAAAACCCUCUUUUGUGUCAGGGUGUUUCGACUCUCUUUUUUUUCGUUCACCACGGCACGAAAUAAUGAAGCUGAAAGAACUUAGAUAGAGAGUGGAACCUAGUAAUUGAGAGCAUUUGUUGUCUUUUAAGAAUAACUGUACGAUCUUGGAUUGACCCUCUUCGGAUGACCUAGAGUGAAAGAAAAAGAGGUUUGCGCUACUAUAAGGCCUCUAAAGUCCUCCCUCAGGACACUGUUGUGUUGCCAUGGGGACGGGGUAGCCCCAACUUUUAUAGGUCCUUGGUUUGACCUUCUCACAAAAGUGUUUCCAUCCCAUCUCCGAAAGUGAUUCUAUAUCUAUGGUCUAGAUCAUGAUUCCGCUGGUUGUGAGGCAAUAUGCUAGGUAAGAAGCCCGAGCAACAACAAACAAAAUCUUCUCAGGUUCAAAACAAUCAAAUUCAUCACAGGAGAAAAAAGAUAGUGUAGACGAUAGAUUCAUCGGAUAAAGAGUAUAAAUGGAAACAGAGACAUUAAACGCCAGCUUAGACCUUAGCAGGCAUAAGAAUUAAUGGGUGAAUGGAAAUUUGCUCAAGUGGGCUCAUUCAUGUUGCCAUUCAACUCUUUGACAUUAAAUUGUUUUGUUUCCUUUUUGGAACUCUAUUUAAUUUAAAAAAGAGGGUCCGACGUUGUUAAGGAGAAAUUUGUUCUUCUCAUCACAAAUGUGGAUAUGAAAGUAGAUUGCAUCGAUGAUAAUGAAGUAUUGCUUGACUUUCAAACACUUGAUGUUCUUUCUAAGGUUAUUAAGACCAUCAUUUUUUAUGGAAGGAUCACAUGACUAAGACCGCCAUUUUUUAUGGAAGGAUCACAUGGCGGACUUUGCCAACUCAUAUCGUUGAUCAAAAAUAAGGUUGUUCAUGAUGGUGGGGUUGUUGAUUAGUUGCCAUUGAUGUUAAAUUGCAAGGAAAUCAAAAGCAAUCUAGGUGGGAUUUCCUAUGUGCUUGGAUAUAGCCUCACUACCUAGGUACAUAUUUUUUAGGAUGCUAUGCGAGGUGCCCACUUGGGUGCCAAGGCCAGUGCCCAAGCAAAGUGCCUAGCCAUCUAUAAGUUGCUUUAUUACUAAUGGGUGCUUAUUUCUAGUUUUAUUGGAAACUAUAAAUUUUUGGCAUCUUUACAUACAUACAUAUAUACACAUAUAUAUAUAUUUUGAGAGAGAGGUGGGAUUGAGGACUUGACUCGUCUCGGUCCAGCUUGAAGGUAUUGUCCUAGACUGAAGAGAGACCAUGUCUUGGGACGCAUCCGGGAUCCCGGAUCUUUGCAGACCAGUUCAUCUCAGUUUGACAGACUGGGAUGAUUGUGCCCUGCCUCUCGGCAUGAUCUGGCGUCUUAGAACACCAUGUUUUUGAAUUUAUUUUUUAAAUUUUUUUCUCUUCAUUUUUGUUGUUAAUGGUCAUUCCUGUCCAUCUUGCAUCACCCUUGUAUCAUAUUGACCUCUCCACAAGCUGAAGUGGGCCCCAGUAUUGAGAUUUAAACUAUAUUUAAUAUGUCCUGGAGCAUGAUUAUCAAAGCAUUUUAAAAUGUUCUUUAAGACCACAACCAUCCCUAAUCUGUACAACCACAACCAUUCAUCAAUCUGCCCUCUCUUAAUUCUAGACCCUCACCUCCAUUUAGUGGAGGGUUGACAGUAACCAACAAGGACAAAGGGGGAAACCUGGAGGUUAGGGCUAUUAUAUUUGUGAUUAUUUGAUUAUACAAUGCUAUCAUACCGGAUUUUUAGCGGUAGGUGCCCACCUGGCUGCCUAGGUUUUCCACCUAGCCAUUUAGUGGUGCGACCGCUUUGGCAUUUUGAUAAGUUUCCAACUUUGAAACCUAUGAAUUUAUUGUUCAAAACAUUCUAAACAGAUUUUAAUAAAAUUUGUUGUUCAUGAUGGAUGCCAUAGCAGUCAUGUUUCGAUUUUGAUGAUCGCUUUCAUCAGGUUAUAAAGCACAUAAUCUGUCAACAAGAAUACCUAACACACAGGGAAGCAUGUGGAUCCAUCUUUGUAGUUUUUGUCGUGUAUGGGCAGCAAGAUACAAUGGGAGAUAUGCUUAUGAUUUCAUUGGAUUAGAAGUUUUUCGAUUUAUGGUUAUAAAGUGAAUUCAAGAAGAUUGGUCGAGAGGUCAAUUAGUCUUAUAAAGCUGAAAAAUCAUGUUAGGAUGGACAAAUGCUGGCUGAUCCCCAAGAGAUACGAUGAAAGGAUGAAAAUAUUGUGGUUUAAUUUUGUAGAAGAUAAUGUGUACACAUAAAUUUUUUGUUCGAAGUUACAUUUAGAUUGAAAUCUCUAAUAUGGAAUAAUGUAUCACCAAAAUUGUUCCUGUGUAAGGUAGGAAGUGCCAGGAUAUGCCUACUAUAUCAUGUGUUAUCUGUGUUUGGUUUUUAUUGACAUGGGAAGAUAGGCGGCAAAAUUGAAAGUUAUGCCAAAUACUCAGGUAAACCUAGAAUAUAGCAUUUUAGCUUUCUCAUUGCCCUCUGGAAAUGCAUGGGCUUGUCUGAACACUCAAAAUCACCCAUGCUGUAGCUCAGGUCAAACUACAUAGUUAUUGCUUAUUGCAUUCUAAAAGAGAACUCUACUCAACUCAACUAAGCCUUGAUCCCAAACUAGUUGGGGUUGGCUACGUGAAUCCUUUUCCUCCAUUCCGCUCAAUUUAGGGAUUUAAAGAAAUAAUAUGAAACUGACAUUAUAAUCUAAAACAAGUGUAAGAAGCUCUAACUUUGAUGUAAAAAAAAAUAUCUUGAGGGGUCAUGUAGAACUCUUAUGUGUAUUAUGAUUUUGAAUGCUAUCGAGGGGAUGCAGGAUAAGAGUUGGGAGUUAAUGUUAUUAUAACAAGGCCAUAAAUAGCUUGAAGAUUCAGGAGGCUUAACUUGAGGAAUCUCAAGAUGCAUCAAUCUAGAUACCAGGCAAAACUCGAUCUUAUGAAAACAAAUGAGUCUUGUAAGAACUUUCAGUAUGUACAGCAACAUGUAGAGAAGGAUUAUGAGAUUUUGCGGUUAUAAUGCUUUAGAUUCAGAAGCUCAGUGGCAUUUUGGAUACCUAGAUUUGGCAUUUUCUUGGGGCAACAUUGUGAGAACUUGCAAGAACAGGGAAAAAUGAUAUCUUAAUGCUUGAAAACCGGCCGCAACAAGGCACCUCUGAAAAAAAUGAUUUUUCAAAAGUCUUCAUUUGCAGGUUUUGCUAUUUAAUCUACUUUUUUUUCCUACAAUAUAUCUUGAGGUAAAUCCACCUUAUUGCACAAAUAUGCACCAGCAUGAUGUUAGAAGGUUUGCAUCAGCAUCGGCGGAACCGAGAUCGGGCACCGUACUGGUUGCCCGGCUGGGACAAGUUGGUAUGGGCCUGCGCCAAGCCGUGCUGAGCCUGUACAGACACAGUAGAAGAGAUGGGAGAGAGGAAGAACGAAAGAGAAAAAGAUAGAGAGAAGGCGGAGAGAGGGAGGGAGGCUGAUGAAGGGCUGGUGGAGGCCGUCGGAGGCCUGCAGCGGGGCAGCAACGGAGGCCGCAGCGGGGCUCCUGUUUCAAACGAAAUAGGGGAACGGCCACGGCCUCCGCCUGCUGCCCCAGCGACGGCCCUCCGCCGGUCUCCCUCUCCCUCUCUCCUCCACUCAUUCUCUCUCUUUUUCUCUCUUUCCUUCUCUGCUUUCGGUAGCGGUUUUUGUUUCUGUUGCCGAAACCGUCCCGAUGAGCUGCCGGGACAGCUCGGAACCGCCCAGUUUGGGAAGGUUCCGCCGACCUGGUUCGUAUAAUUAGUUUUAUUUGUUUUGUGCCAUAAUGCUUCUAUUUUCAAGCAGGCAAUGGUUUUGUGAUCUAUGUUCGCAGUACAUUGUAAAGCUUUUCUGAACCCUUCAUAGUUGUUGGAGCCUUUGCUUUCAAAGAGGGGGAGAAAAACAAAUAUGAAAUAUCUGUAAAACUUCCUUGCCCACUUUGUUGAUCUGUUUUAGGCUCCUUUUCUUCUCUCUUAUUUUUUCUUCCUUUUUUGAUCUUGAUUCUGUUAUUGCUGAGCUUAAAAUUUUACUUGUUCGUCAAACCGAGAUCUACCAAGAUUACAACAACUUCUACAGAGGUUGAUCUAGUUUGAUUUAUCCUUGCUUCAAGCAUUGGCUUCUACUGUCUAGAAGCUUAACAUUAUUUUUGUGGUUUAAAUAAUUUGCACUUCUGUGAAAGAGUAGGCUCUCUUAGCCUUUUACUUUGUGCUUAAGUGAAAUCGUUUUCUUCUGACUGUGGUGUCAUGGCAUAUGUUGUUCAGGUUUCUUAGUUUGUUGGACUUGUAUGAGAUUUUACCAAUAUCGUGGUAGAUUUUUUUUUAGAUGAGUGGAGGGGAGUUGAUUUAGGCAGUAUGGGAAGAAUUUUAUGGAUUUAUCCUGUUUUUGGCAAAAGGGAUGUAGGUGGUUGCUUUUAUUAGGUUAAAAUGUGGCAUGUGCAAAAUUAGAGCAUCCUCCAGGUGCCUUCCUUUUGAGGACUUAAAAUUAAACUCACUGACAGCUAUUAGAAACCCUGGGUCUUUUCACAUUAGCCAGUGAUAAUGGUGCAACUAUGUUGUCAAUUCUAUACUAAUUCUCCUGCCAUUACUUCAACAAAACCAUGAAUAUGAGCAAUGCCAUCACCCACUUGAAGUACGGUUCGGUAUUCAGAGUCUUUCUUGAUUAUAUCGUUCAAUACGUUCACUGAUAACAUUACUAAUUUUGUUGGCUCAAAGGGUUACCAUUAGUGGUUUUUAAUUCUUUUUCAGAAGCAAAGCAAAAAAUGAUGCCUAAACUCUAAACUAAAGUAAAAGUAAAAGUGCUAAUUUGUUAUUUCUUCCAUGGCCCCUAGGCCUGUCUAUAUUGGCAGAAGCAAGUUUUCUUAAGUGUUUCUGUUUUCCCAAAGAAAACUCCAUUACAUUUGUGAUGAUAGCUUCUAGGGAUUUUCUAUUUUACAAGCCUUCAUUUGUUUGUCGAUUUUCUUUAUUAAAACUAAUUUUCUGCUUAUGCACGAGGCAGGUGACACCCUAGGAAAACUUUAUUUCUAUUGUUAAUGCCAAGGCAAGCAUGGAAUACAGUUUUAAAUUUUGUAUGCAUUAUUAAUAUUGUAUUUUGAACUGUUAAGUGUUAAUAAUAACUCCGAUAUUUUUCCAGGUAUUAUGUGUCUCCGUCUGGGAAGAAAUUGCGGUCAAUGGUUGAAGUUGAGAAGUAUGAAUGAAAUUUCUUGCAUUCAUGCCUAAUAAAUGUUUCAAGAUUGUCAAUUUCUAUUCUUGAUUCUAUAUGUCACGGCUUUAAUUUGGAGAAAUUUGCGUUCCUUCUGAUUUGUGAACAUACUGUGCAUGUUAUUGGACUUGCAGGUAUUUGAAGGAACACCCAGAGGAUGGUAUCAAUAGAUCUCAGUUUUCAUUUCAGAUCCCUAAACCUCUGCAAGAGAAUUAUGUGAGAAAACGUUCUUCACGUGUAAUGAAUCCUUGUGAUAGUGCUGGUUUGGGAUUGCCAAGGCCCCUUGAACCUGAAGAAGGUAUGUGAAUAUAGUGGAAGUUACUGGAGUUUUAGUGUUCUUUCUAAACCCUGUCUACUGCAGAAUUGUCCUGCAGGAUAUCUGUGCUCUUGGUCUUUUCAGCAAUGAAUAAAUUCUUAUACAACUUUGGGGUUGUGCAAUCUAACAAUUACCUUAAUUGCUGUGGUAUCUGCUUUCUAAGAUAUAGCUGUUUAUCUUAAAGAAAUGUUCUGUGAUUAUGGUGUGAGCUGAAAGGGUAAGGGGAGAACCAGUUCCAACUGUAACCUGCUGGCAUGUAACCUGUAUGCAGUUACUUGGAAAGCACUUUGUGGUUGAGAAAUUCUUUAUGCGAUGAUGUAUCUCCAGAUAAAAGGUCAUUGGAACCAGCUUUAGUAUAUCAUCCAUGAACAUUUGAUGUAUCUUGCAAUGUCAUUUUGUUACUUCUCAACAGUUAGUUUCAUAGAUUCUAUGUAUUAUUCAUGUUUUUCAGUUACCAGGUCUCGUUAUACCUCACACGUAUUUUCAUGAUAUUUCUGGUUUUUCUGUAUCCUUCCAAUACAUUUACCUGCAUACCAUCAGAUUUUGAUGAUAUAAUAAUAAAAGAUUCUAUUUUGUUUUUUUUGCUUUCAAGCUUCUAGGAUUGAAUUUCUUGAACAUUGACUUAAAACAUGCAUCUUGGUGCUAAGUGUGCUAAUUUUACGCAUGGUUGUUCAUGAUGCAGUGAAUCCUCUAUCUUGGGCGGCUCCCCCUACUCAGAAGGAGCUUCAGAGUGGUGGAAUAGGUUCAUCGAUUCCUUAUUAUGAGGGGCCUGGUUGUUUCCCUCUGAAUGAACCAGCACCCUUGCCUUCAGCAAAGAAGAAAACAACCAAGUCUUCAUCCAGAGAUAUGUGCAAUAGUUCUGUUUGUGACCAGCCGAAGAUAAAGUUAGAAGAUGCUUAACAACCAAGAAAUGCCUCUUCCUAUGAGCUGUACUUCACCGUCUCCUCUACCUUGCUGCUGUGUUUGUGAUGCUAUUUGUUUUCUUUUCCUCUAGGGUAGCAAAGGGCGUUAUAGGUAUAUAACUUAAUAGGCAGGGAGAAUAUGCCUUUUUUUGUUAGCUUGGUUCUGGAAUGCACAAAGUUUUGCCAAAGAAAGAUACCAACAUAUAUGAUAUCCCGAGUAUGAAUGGGAUUACAGCAAUUUAAGUUACCUUUCACUGUUCCUGAGCUGCUUGUUGGUUGGGUGGCCUGGAUGAUAACUUUGAUGGUUCUUGUUUUUAAGAGCAUCGGAUUUUCUUUUCUCUGGGGCCACUUUGAACUGCAGAACAUGGGUUAAAAGAAAUGCUAUUGUUUAGCAUUUUGCAUUGAAGAACACGAUAUUGAAUGUCCCGAUCCACUUAUGUCUAUUUACCUAUGCAACAUGCAGGCGAAAAUAGUAAAGUUGUAGCAGAAGUGAGAAUUGAAAAGAAUUUUGCUGGCUUUACACUUUCACAGGCUCCAACUGAUUUUAGCUCAUUACAUGUAUGUAAGAAGUAUGGAUAGCUCUGUAUUUUAUCAGAUUAAAGAUUGUUCUUUUGUUAUUGGCAUGAUAUACGCCCAUUUUUAGCUGUUUCACUUCUAUGUUUUUGAGAGUGAGAACUGAAUGACAGAGUAUUUGACGUGUUAAAAAGGCCAUUGCGUGAGUUGUCCAUAUCAGAGCCGAUGUCGGCGUUGUAUCUUUUAUGGAAUAAACUUAGGGACAUUUUUUACUUAGCUGAAAAUGCAGCAUUUACGCAUCUUUAGGUGAUGCAGCAUUCUUCUUCUUAAACUAAUCUUCUUUCUGAUCCAAAUUACUAGAGUUUAUUUAUAUAAAAUCUUUUGUUGACCAAACAGUAGGCAUUCAGAUAUGGUGUAUCUUAUUUUUCAAUUACUUAAAAAUAUCUCUUAUAUGAAAAAGGAAAGAAAAAAGAUACAGUGUUCUACAUCAUGUACAAUUUAUUCGUGAGACUUGUAUUAUUAUUAUUAAAGUUUUGGAUAUAAAUGUCGAUGGUGGAUGUGUAAUACUCGAAAAGUUAGCAAUCAAAUUGUUACUUGGUCAUCCAUAAUAUUUGAGUUGUUAGUACGAAGGUAUGUGCCAUGCGGCUAAUAUGUUAUUUUUCUUAUCGAGCUACUAUAGAUUGUAUCUAUUUUGCCAUUGAGACGGAAUAUAGUCAUGUCAUCAUCUAUAUAUAAAAAAAAACUCUGAUCAUCAUGGAUGUUUCUCAAAGAAUGAUCUUUUUCUUUUGAGAGAGGAGAGAAGUCUAUGAGUGAGAUUUCCAGAAUCUUUUAUUUCAUGCAAUACGGUAUAAAAUUAUGAAUAAAUAGAAUUUCUGACAAUAUCAACGGCAUAGUAAUUGGAUAAAUAUUUAGAAUUAUCCGUUAUCAAUAUUUAUUAAAUUUUUUUAUAAAUAUCCGUUAGAGAUUGUCGAAGAAAUAUCCUCUAAUUGUAAUAAUUAGAUAAAGAUUUGAAGCUAUGUAUUAUUCUCUUUGUCAAAAAUUUCUAUAAAUAAUUUUUAGAGAUUAUAGGAGAGAUAUUCUCUAACAACACUCUCUAACAGCAUAUAAAUUGAAGUCUGGUUACAUCCAUUAUUAAACCUCAGAUAUUCCUCUCCAUAGCUUGUUCUCUCGUUACUUAAUUUUGAUGGCGGCACCAUCCUCUCCGCGUGAGAAAAAGCAAAAGGUUGGGAAUGGUGAGGUGAGGAAUCAUUUAAUCUUCGCGUAUUAUAUCACCGGUCACGGUUUUGGCCACGCCACCCGCGUUGUCGAUGUACAUCACUCCCUACUUCUAGUUAAUUACUUUUUCUUUACUGUAUUUUUAUUUUUAUAUUCUACUGUCAUCAUAAAUAUAACAUGCAAUCGAUGAAACGGAGGGAGACACUGGCCACGGUGGUCGGAUAGAUCUAGAAGGCCUAAGAUGGGUCAGACCAUCCUUUGAUUCGAGACAUUUGGAAGAUGAAUAGUGAUGGAGUGGACUUUCAAGCCAAGCAUAUAUAUAUAUAUAUAUAUAUAUAUAUAUAUAUAGUANNNNNNNNNNNNNNNNNNNNNNNNNNNNNNNNNNNNNNNNNNNNNNNNNNNNNNNNNNNNNNNNNNNNNNNNNNNNNNNNNNNNNNNNNNNNNNNNNNNNNNNNNNNNNNNNNNNNNNNNNNNNNNNNNNNNNNNNNNNNNNNNNNNNNNNNNNNNNNNNNNNNNNNNNNNNNNNNNNNNNNNNNNNNNNNNNNNNNNNNNNNNNNNNNNNNNNNNNNNNNNNNNNNNNNNNNNNNNNNNNNNNNNNNNNNNNNNNNNNNNNNNNNNNNNNNNNNNNNNNNNNNNCCCAUGGAAUAAAACUUUUUCAUCUUUUUUUUUGAAAAAUUCAACCAAACAAGAGGCAUCUCAUUACUUUUCCAUUGACCACACUUUCUUUUCUUCUUUUUUCGUGAACCAAACGAGCCAAUAGAGAGACAAACGAGACCGCGGACUAGGUUACUGCUUAUGCGGCCAACUAUGUGAAAGAUAUGCCGUGGACGAUUGAGGAAGAGUUGCCUAGGUUGUCCGUACCUAAGCGAUAUGAACUGCUUAAGCAAGCAUGCAAGUAAAAAAAAAUAACGCUUAAGUAAGAAAUGCGUGACGAGGCAGCGCUUAGCACGUACUUGGUCGCUGCAGUUUGCGUUUUACCCGCCUCGUUGUGGGCAACGUUUUAUAUACCCUUCUCCCAUUAAUCCGGGAGAUUCCGCCUCCGCUUUAUUUUUAUAACUUUUUUCUCCUUCCCUUCGUCCCUUUUUUUUUCCUAAAAUUGUUUGAGGUUUUUCGAUGGGGCUCGUCUCCUCGUUCCCUGAACCUGUUUUAGGCUUUCCGAUAGGGUUUUAGGGUCUUUCUUUCUCGCUGGCAUUUCUUGCGAUAUAGUUUUGAUGAGGGAGCAAUGAGGAUUCCCGAUGGAGAUGAAGGGGUUUCCGCGUCUCGAGAGCACCUCGUCUUCGUCUACUACGUCACCGGCCAUGGGUUCGGCCACGCGACCCGGGUCGUCGAGGUGCACCGAUCGCAGUAUUCUUUUUCAUCUUUAUUCUCAUCCUUGUCCAUUUCUUUUUUUCUUUCUUUCGAGAAUUUAGUCUGUCGUUUUUUUUUCUUGAGUGUUUCCUUUUUUUCUUUAUUUUUUCCCUUCUUUCCGGAAUUUAGUCGAUCGGUUUUCACAGUUGAAUGGAGUCUCUUGGAAAAAAUUGGAAAAAGAUGCGAGCUUUAACUUUCUCUCAGUUCUUCUCUUUUCUUAGCUAGGAAAAUAUGGAAUAAGAUGCGAUCUUUAACUUGAUUAUUUCCCUCAAAUUUGGAGUAAUUAAUGAACGUCUUGCUUGCUAGUCGAGAGGGGUAGUGGCCGAGUAAGGGUACUGAGAUUAAUAAGAGUUGUAGGAAACUGGGAGUCUUUGAAAUGAAUCCAUCCAAAUAUUUUUGACUAAAGGUAAACCCUAAAAACAGAGGGUUUUUUUUUGCCAUUGUGGCCGAAAUGUCGGGAUUUUCGAAUCUGUUGGCCACGUUCGUGCUCUCCCUCUAUAAUUCUGUAGACAAUAUCCCGCCGGAUGAGGAGUCGGAUAUUCUUUAUAAUUUUUCUUUUUGUUUUUCUUUAAAGAAUUUUAGCUUAUGUGGUCUGCUGGAUAUAUCUUUUCGUUUUUCCUGGGAGGGAAAAAAGUGUACUCUUUGUAGAAAAAAGAUGCAUUUUUCACUUGAUUUCUGGCAAAUUUCCAAUAGUUAAUAGAUUUGUGUCCUUAUUUCAUAAAAAGGGAUCGAAUCUUUAUAAGGAAACAUAGCCUGAUCCGGGAAUUUAGGAGAAAGGUGUAAUAACAUGCAGUAAAGUUAUAAAGAUAUUUCUUUAAUUCUUCUAUGAUUUUAACUCAAAUAUAUAUUAGAGCUAUUGCAACAGAGACUCCAAGUUGAGUUAUAAAUUGUGAUCUGUGGAUUGCUUUGGAAGCUUUGUGGCGAUUUGAAACAAGUUCUUUUCUUGCAGGUUGUACGGCAUCUCAUUGCUGCGGGGCAUGAUGUUCAUGUGGUUACAGGUGCUCCAGACUUUGUCUUUACCACUGAAAUACAGUCUCCCAAUCUCCACAUUCGCAAGGUCAGUCUGGAAAAUGAAAUUGCCUGCCAUCAGAAAUAUGCUGGUACACAUUAUGAAUACUGUGGCUGAAAUUGUGGAAUCGCAGGUUUUGUUGGACUGUGGAGCGGUGCAAGCUGAUGCUUUGACAGUGACCGGCUUGCCUCCUUGGAGAAGGUGCGAAGACUAAAUGCAUUUCCAUCCUCUUGCCUAAAACAUGUUUCCUGAGCGUUAGUAGUCAGCUUGCUCUGUCAAUGAGUACUAUGCCCCAAUACUUUCGUAUUUGUAUAUGGUUUUCCGUAUUUCAUUUUGUUUUUCCAAAUACAGUAUCAUCAGACAGCUGUGGUGCCUCGAGCCUCAAUUUUGGCAACUGAAGUGGAGUGGCUGAACUCUAUCAAGGCUGACUUAGUGGUACUUGCUAUUUUCUUCUGCACAUGAUUGUUGAAAAAGAUCUCGUAAUAUUGAGCUAUGAGCUUUGAAUACAUCAACUUAUUCAUAUUUCUUGAGGAGGAGCAUUCUUUGUUGGUUUAAUCAUUAUAACUGAUAUUGCUCUACUGGUGACAGGUCUCAGAUGUCGUUCCUGUAGCAUGCCGAGCAGCGGCAGAUGCUGGGAUUCGCUCGGUUUGUGUCACAAAUUUCAGGUAAGUCAUUUUGUGUUUGCUGUCAUGCGAUUAUUGUUACAAGGAUCAACUUUCGCAUUCAUUAUAUACUAAAAUUUCUUGCUAAUUUUUUAACAAUCUGGUUCUACAUGCAUCUUCUACAUGAUAUUUAUGGUGUUCACUUGAAAUAGCUGAUCUGACUGAAUAAAGGUAUUCAUUUUUUUCUCCUUACAUAUGAAAGGUUCAGGCAUGAAUUAUUACAACUAGGAUUCAGAAAAUUGGGAGAUUGAGGGAGGGAUAACAGUAAAUGGCUGAAUGGAAGAGAAUGUUAAGAAACAUGCGAAGGAAGACCGUAGAAUAAGCUUGGAAGAGGGUCACCCUCUAAGAUAAUGAGCGGCUAACCUAUCCUGUUUAUCAAACUUCUUAAAGUUACAGUUACCCAGACGGUUCAAAUUUUGGAUUUUUUGACAGAGUCUUGGACUCUUGGGACAUUUCAUGACACUCCUUGACACUUUGUUCCACUAAAAUAUGCUGCCAUCAUCAUCGCAUGUCUAGUUUUGACCUCUGUAUGAAAGCUCUUAAUUUGAACAUAAAAAUUAGCACUAAUUUCAUUAAAUUAUAUGCACACAUUAACACAUAUUUACACAUACAUACCUAUAAUAUCGGUGUGUCCCUUUGUCAAAAUUUUAGAAGAUUCCUUCGCUUCUGGAUACUUGGACAGCUACAACCAUUCACAUGUCCAAGUGACAUUGAAUUUAGGGCUAAACUUCUUUGAAUGUCUUUGCUUGCUUAAAAAGUUUACUUCCUUUACAUUGGUGGCUAUGUGAUGAAUUAUCAUAGUGCCUUUGCAUUGUUAAGGAAAUGAAGGUUUCAUGUUCCAAUUUUAAUGAAGUCACAAGCACUUUACCACCUAGCUGAACUGGUUUAAUGGAUAUAGCCUCUUUAUUGCCAUUUAUCUUAUAGAGUAGGAUGUUUAUUGCAAGCACAUGUUCGUUUUUGGAAUCCAUCUUUCCUUCUGCAAAUAUCUUGAAUUUGUUUUAAUGAUUUUUUCCUUUUCCUUUUUAACAUAUUGUUGAAGGAAAUUCAAUUUAAUGAUUGAAAAAGAUGUUACAUCAUGGAUUACAAGAUUUCAUAUAUCUUAUGGCCUUCAAAAAAGGAGAAUCAUCUCUUAUUAUAUUGUUUUACUUUCUAUUACUAUAUACGAGUGAUGAAGAAAGAUAUAACAACUAUGAUUGGAAAAGUAGCUUUAGGCCCCAUUUCGUAAAGUUUUUAGAGGGCCAGAAAGCACUUUUUAGCCCUCCAAAAGUACUUUUGGAUGAUAUAGUGACGUUUGGUAAAAAAAUAAAAAAUUGUUUUGUCUUUUCGAGAAAGUUGAAAAGGUCAACUUGAGAAAAGCUUUAUUUUGGAGCUUAUUCCCAAAAGUAUUUUUUCCCAAUGUCGGAAAGCUAUUUUGAUUUUAAUUAUAUUUUUAUGAUAACCAAAAUGCUCGCCAACAAAUUUCAUAAUUCAUCUUAUGUUACAUCAUAUCAUAAUAUAUUAUUAUAUAUAAAUAUAAUAUAGUAUAAUAACAAAUUACUAAUAUAUUAUAUUGUUAUAGUGAUACAUAAUUAUAAUAUAACAUAUUCCUAUAUUUUAUUAUAGGCAUAAUAUAACAUGUUGUUGCAAUCAUAAUUUUACGUUAUUAUUAUAAUAAUAUUAUAAUAUACGAUUAAUAAUAUAAAAGAUAAUAUAUUAGGUUAUAUAACAUUACACUAUAUUCUAUUAUAUGAUUAUAUUAUAAUAAUAUUAUAUUAUUAUUAAAUAUAUAAUAAUAUAAUAAUAUAAUAUAAUCUAUUACUAUAUUAGAUUCUAAUCCAUUAUAUUAUAUUAUAUUGCUGUAUUAUAUUACAUUAUUAUUAUAUUAGAUUAUAUUAUAUAUUAUCUUAUAAUUAUAAUAAUAUUAUAUUAUAUUGUAGUAAAUUGUACUAUUAUUAAUAAUAAAACUAAUAAUAGUAACAAUACUAAUAAUAGUAAUAGUACUAAUAACAGUAAUAAUACUAAUAAUAGUAAUAAUAGUAAUAGUAGUAAUAAUACUAAUAAUUAUUAUUAUUAUAAUAAUAUUAAUAAUAGUAAUUAGUACUAAUACUAGUAAUAAUACUAAAAAUAAUAAUUAUAAUAAUAAUAAUAAAUAAAAAUAGUAACAAUAAUAGUAAUAAUACUAAUUACAAUAAUAGUACUAAUAAUAGUAAUAGUACUCAUAAUAGCAUUAGUACUAAUAACAGUAAUAGUACUAAUAAUAGCAUUAGUACUAAUAAUAGUAAUUAUACUUAUAAUAGUAAUAAUACUAAAAAUAGUAAUAAUACUAGAAGUUGCAAUAAUAGUAAUAAUACCAAAAUAGUGAUACUAAUAAUACUAAAAUUCGUAGUAGUACUAACAAAUAUGAAUAAUAGUAAUAAUACCAAUAAUAGCAAUAGUACUAAAAAUAGUAAUAAUACUAUAAUAGUAUUAAUACUAAUACUAGUAAUAAUACUAAUAAUAGUAAUAAUAGUAAGAAUACUAAUAAUAGUAAUAAUAUUUAUAUAUGUAUGUGUCCAUAUAUAUAUAUAUCAAUAUAUUUGUACAGAUAUAUAUCUACAUAUAUGUAUAGAUAUAUAUCUAUGUAUAAUACAUAUAUACAUAUAUAUUUGUGUGCGUGUAUAUAUAGAUGUAUGUGUGUGUGUGUGUAUAUGUACAUAUAUAUAUAUGUACAUAUAUAUAUAUAUGUACUAUUAUAUAUAUAUAUAUAUAUGUACUAUUAUAUGCAUAUAUAUAUAUAUUAUUACNNNNNNNNNNNNNNNNNNNNNNNNNNNNNNNNNNNNNNNNNNNNNNNNNNNNNNNNNNNNNNNNNNNNNNNNNNNNNNNNNNNNNNNNNNNNNNNNNNNNNNNNNNNNNNNNNNNNNNNNNCCAUUAUAUUAUAUUUUAUUACUGUAUUAUAUUACAAUAUUAUUUUAUGAUAUUAUAUAUUAUGUUAUAAUUAUAAUAAUAAUAAUAUAUUACAUUAUAGUAAUAUUGUACUAUUAAUAAUACAUUAUUAUAUCAUAUCAUAUUAUGUUACGUUAUAUUAUUAUGCUGUAGUAUUCAAUAUUAUAUUACACUAUAUUAUAAUAAUAUUGUACAAAAUAAUAAUAUAAUAAUAUAUAAUAUUAUAUAAUAUUAUAUUGUAUUAUACACCACCAUGCAAUACUAUACAAACAUCAAAUAUUAUAAUAUAUAAUAUUAUAUAAUAAUAUAUAAUACAAUAUAUAAUAUUUGUAUUAAAGGAUAUAAUACAAUAUAAUAUUAUAUAAUAUUAUAUUGUAUUAUAUCCUUUAUUGUCAUUUUAUCAUACCAAAUGCACUUUCUCAUUUUGGUUACCAAACAUAUGUUAAAGUUCCACAGUACUUAGAAAUGUAAUUAUCAAACAUUAAAUAACUUUUAAUAAAAACUUUACUUCCAAAAUCUCUACUUUCCGAAAGCUCUACCUUUAAAAGCUCUACUGUCAAUAGCAAUCCCAAACAGGGCCUUAGUGCAGAAGCGAAUGCUCUCAAAAUUUUUAUUUUUUUAAGCUUUUAAAGGAGAUGAAGAAAAGGCCUGUCAACCUUAGAGACUGACCACACGCACGAGAGNNNNNNNNNNNNNNNNNNNNGAGAGAGAGAGAGAGCAAAACACUUAAUGCCUUUUGCCAGUUAAGUGUAAUACAGAAAAGAUCGAGGUCAAACCCAAAGGAAAAGAUGAAUAUGCAAGUGUUUUUCCUGACAAAAGAUAUUUAGAGGAAAUCCUGAAAGAAGGUGAAGGAGUUCUAAGUCUUGUGAAAUCUCUUACGCUAGCAAAAAGAAACAUUACUUGACAAUGAUAAAAUCUACUUUUACGAUGAUUAACCUUACUGUUUUCAUAGACCAACAUUUUGUUUUCCUUGUUGAUUGUUACUAUUUGUUCACCCUUUUCAGCAUUGUACAUAUUUUAAACAGUUCUUAAUUAUAAUCACAAUUUCAGAAUUUUUUUGUGAAAAUCAGACAUGUAAGUUAAAGGCUAAAUACCUUGAAGGAACAUGAAUUUGUAAGUCUGUGUUUUUAUUUUUAACAAAAAUAACCAUGAUUCUGAAAGUGAACUUUUCUGUUCUUGUUGAAAUGAGGUAGAGAAAAAACAUGUGAGAAAUUUAACUAUUUUAGUGAUAUUGGGAUUAAAAGUUAAAAAUAAUUCUCUGAUUACCCUUAACGCCAAAGAUCUUCCAUCUGAAAUAGAAUCAUGAUACCUUCUCCUUCGGGAAAAAAUAACAAGGUAAUUCUCCUUGAAUACCUAGAUAUAUGUAAUUGAAUUUGAAAGUAACUCUGAGUAAUAGUUAACAUGCCCGGUAUCUGGAUUUUCUUAUUAUCUGUCAACUUUUGCAGUUGGGAUUUUAUAUAUGCAGAAUAUGUCAUGGCAGCUGGGCAUCAUCAUCGUUCUGUUGUUUGGCAGGUGCUUGUUGUUCCUUUUCUUGUUUGAUACUUUGUGGGAAAUGCAUAUCUUUUUUUCCUUUUUGUUUUGCUGGCAGUUAGUUUUAAACUUGAUUAAUUUAGUAAAAGCUUUUGUUUCUUUCAGGGUUAUAUGGUAGGCUAAUGCAUGAUAAAAUGCAGUGGUUUACAACUCUAAUGGAAAAAAUUCAUCGUGUUGUCCUUUUGAGUUCUAGCAUUCUUAUGUGAAUUGCAUUAUGAAAGGUCUACCAACAGCAUUCUGGUGUCCUUUAUAUCUCCAUUUCAAAUCAUUUGUUAUUCCUUUAGUUAUGCACUUCCUUUUACAAUGAAAAAGAAAACAAUCUGUCCCUGUCAUCUAAUUAAUGGAGUUUUAUAUUCAUAUGCAAGGACCUUUUAUGCAUUCUAUUUUGUGAUAUUCAUCUUGCUUGUCACAGUAAAUUCCCUUCAUGCUAAAUUAUUAUUAUUAUUUUUUUAACUAUGAUUUUUACAGAUUGCCGAAGAUUACUCUCACUGUGAAUUCUUACUCCGACUUCCUGGAUAUUGCCCUAGUAUGUUAUCUGGCAUGCAAAAUUUAUGAUUUCCUUGACUAUAUCCAUAUCAUUAAUAUAUUGAUACAAAAGAUGCUCUUCUCUCUCUCUCUGUCUGUCUGUCUCCUUCACUUGCUUGAUUGCCUCCCCCCCCCUUCCCCGCCGCCACCCCCUCUUCCUCCUCCCUAUUUUUCCUGCAGUGCCUGCUUUCCAGGAUGUCAUUGAUGUUCCUCUGGUGGUCAGAAGAUUGCACAAAUCUCGACUGGAGGUGGGGAUAUCACUAACUGUAACUCUCCAGACCAUUACCUUCCUUUUAUUGUUCCUUAAAUGCUCUUGUUCUAUCAGGUGAGGAAGGAACUUGGAAUUGGGAAUGAUGUGAAAGUAGUUAUUUUCAAUUUUGGAGGACAGGUAAGUUGUCAAACAAUAAGCUGCCUUUCAACAAAGUUCAAUUAAACAUUGCAUUAGCAAGCUCAGUGCUGACUUUCCGGUCAGAUGCAAAUUCUGUCCAAAUUGGAAGGUUUUGAGUAAAUAUUGGCUGAUUCUGUGUCAAAGUACUCUGCUGUUUUCACCAAUUACAUGCAGUAUCUUUUUCUUGGAUGUAUCUGGCUCAGUUCUAGUUGCCUUAGAUUCUGAUUUUGUGUACACUUGGGCUGUUAGUGCUGCACCUGAUGUCAUCUAUCUGACAGCUGGAUAGAUGGCAUUGCUUUGGAUCUAUUAGGUGCAUAAUAAUUUGCACUGGAUUCCUGCACAUAUGCUAGCAAGGUUUCCAAUGCAGCCACUGCUUUUGCUUAUAUUUCGACAUCAGUCUAUCACAAUCACCAUUCCCCUGAUAGGAACAUACUUAUAUGACACGAGUAACUGUUGGGUAUAUUAAGCCCAUAAUUUAUUCAACAAAGUUCCUUGAAAAAAAGUCUUAUCUUCCAAAGUUUUGACUUCUCUGACAUAUCAUUGUCUCUUGCAUUCUAUCUUAACAUCAUAUGUAUGAAGUGAAAGUCAGAAAAUCAUUAUUAAUCAAUGCCUGAUAUCACCAAUUUUCAUCUAUACACAUAAUUUCAUGUUAUAGUAGACUAACUUAUGUUUUCUGUGGUUGCUUUCCUUGGACAUUAUCAUCAUUAGUUUGAUGGUGAAUGUUCUGCUGUUGUUUGUGAAUUUGCUUCUUGAUAUUCAUGAGUUAGAUUUUAUUAUUGUCUCUCUAACUUUGAUACAAUUUUGGUUCUUAUCCUUCUGUUUCAGCCAGCAGGAUGGAAACUGAAGCAAGAGUGGUUACCAGAUGGUUGGUUAUGUCUGGUAUGCUCAUGUUAGAGGCUAAGAGUUGUGAUUUUCUUCUGCUAAUAUGUGGUUAAUAUUUUGAGAUACUCGCAUAUCUGAAAGUAUAAUUGUCUUGAUGAAGGUCUGUGGUGCAUCUGACUACCAAGAGCUUCCACCAAACUUUGUAAAGCUUGCAAAAGAUGUAUAUACGCCUGACUUAAUUGCAGCCUCUGACUGCAUGCUUGGUAAUAUAUUUGAGUAGUCAUAAAAGUGGAAUCACUUUACAACAUACUGUAUACUUUAUUUUUGAUGUUUCGUGUAUCCAUUGUUGCAGGAAAAAUUGGGUAUGGCACUGUCAGUGAAGCUUUGGCGUACAAGUUGCCAUUUAUCUUUGUGCGCAGAGAUUAUUUUAAUGAAGAACCAUUUUUAAGAAAUAUGCUUGAGGUUUUGCAUGAUUCUCUUCACUUUAGACCUGAAAAAAUAAUUUAGUUGGAUAAAGUCGUAGAAAAUUUACUUUUUGUAGCCAUUUAUUUUCCUAAGCAGUAUUACCACGGUGGCGUUGAGAUGAUUAGGAGAGAUUUGCUUACCGGACACUGGAUUCCAUAUCUCGAGCGUGCCCUUACUCUUAAGCCUUGCUAUGAGAGAGGCAUUAAUGGUGGAGAGGUAUUCUCUUUUAUGUAGCUAUGCAUACUUAAGAAUGUCAUUAGCUUCUCCAGAUUAUUAUCUUGCAAUGAAACCUACAGCUGAGAACAUGUUAAUGUUAUAUAGCCGUUUUUUUCCUCCUGCAUCUGAAAUUGGCUGGGUAUGGAUGUCUGACGGGCACGGGAUCAGAUUUGUUUCCAAAUUACCUAGAUAAGAAUGCAGAUCUGGUAUUUGGUACAGACAGAUACAGAUAUCUGGCUAUGGAUAUUGAUAUCAGCAUAUAAUAAAGAUUGUUUUUUUAAAAUUUUGAUGAUAUUACGGGAUUUAAUUCUAUAGGUACAUAUUGUUUGUUUCAAGACUAAUUAAUUUUAUGGGCCUUUUCAAGUUAUCCCAGCAUAUAUACUGUAGACAACUAAUUAUUGUAUGGCCAUUGUAAAUGCUGUAUCUUGUAUAUGACAAGUUCCUAUUACAUAUCCAUGUCUAUGUCAAACAAAUAUGAAUGUUACUUACAUCUGAUUUUGCAUGAGUAUUCAUUUAGUGGAAAUAUGAGUAUAUAUGCAUUUAUCUGAUUGAUAUUCAUAUUACUUUUUGCUUGAGACCCUGCCGAUCUUCUUGGUCAAAUGGUUCUGGUUUUGGUCUUCCGAACAAGCAAGUUGUUUAAGGAAAGGCUAAAUAUCUCCUAAUGGGAAAGGGAAGAUAUUGAUGGAGUUUGAGCAAGAGCAGGCGCAAACGAUUUUAGCAAAAACUCAUGCUAUCCCAUCCUUUGAUUUGGAAGGAAAAAAAUCUGUCAAUGUUUUUGGCAAUUUCAUUCAUUACCUGUCUUUUUAUCUAUUCUGAAACUAUGUUAACUAAAUCUAUGCAGGCAGAGAGUAAUAAUAGUUUCAUGCUUAUUGACAAUUCCUAUUUUUUGACAUCUAAUUUUAUGUGGAAAUUCAUACAUAUGUAAUUUUAUGAUCAGGUGGCAGCCCGCAUACUACAGGAUACAGCUACUGGAAAAAAAUGUGCUUCAGAUAAGGUAUGUAAGUGUAGAUGAUUCAUUUAUUGUAUAAAAUGCUACCUUAGUAUAAUUUGUUAGCUUUGUUUCAAAAUAGUUACACUAAGCUUUUAAAUGUUGGUACCAAAUCCUAUACCAUUUUUUCUUUGGAACAGUAUGGUAUUGGGACGUUACUGAACCAAUGGUAUGUACUGAAACUAACAUAUUCUGAAAAUUUGAAGAACCCUUGGUAUUUUCCAGUACGGUUGGUCUGGUACUUCUGGUACACCAGGUACAAACACGUAUGCCCAGUACAUACCGGUACAGUUGUUUUAGCAUCCUGACACCCAUAUUGGUGCUGGAUUCGCUUCAGAAUGGUACGAUACUGGUCAUACCAUCCUUCUAUGGGGAUUUUUGAAACCAUGAGUUACACUCUUCUAGACACCAUGCUUAGCCAGCAAUAUAACGUAUCAUACAAAAGUGAAAUUAUUAUUCUAGAAUAAAAAAGACUUGGGUGGUCUUUUUUUUUUUUUGUCUUAAACUUGUGUGGCCUUUUCUCAUACUAUUUAUCCUGCAUCUUUUCUUUUCUUUUUUUCUUCAAGUUUCAUGCUUUUUUCGUAUACUGAAGGUGGAUACCUUCUUUCUCUUUCGGAUCUGUUUAUACUAUCUUUGUGUGUGUGUGUGCGGGCAUGCACACGCCCGAGCACAUGUUGUCUAUCUAUCUAUCUAUCUAUUAUAUGCUUGACUAACAUCUUUGAACUUUUCUAAUGCGAUGAAGGUUGCUUUGGAAACAUUUUUGUCAUUUUGGGUUGCUUUUUCUAGUUAAUUGAUAUGUCUCCAUUUCUGUGUAUGCUCCUCUGCUAGCCAAAUAUGUUGAAUUUAUCUAUUUGUUUAUUUAAGUUGUUGUCAUGCCUUAUGGUUUACUCAUGAGACAUACUGAAUUGACUAGUUCUGUGCUUUAUGAAUUUAGUUGAGUGGAGCAAGGCGACUGCGUGAUGCCAUAGUGCUUGGAUAUCAACUACAAAGAGCUCCUGGCAGAGACAUAGGCGUUCCUGAUUGGUAUUCUCUUGCUGAAAAUGAAGUUCGUCUUCGCCCUGCACCAAAUACUGAAAUAAAUGGGAAUGCCUCUCUUGUGGAAUCGUGUGUUCUUUAACUUUUCAUUUUGUUAUUCUGUAAGUGCUGGUUCUGUGAAUUGUUGCUGAUUUGUGCUUGUAUAUAUUGCAAGAUGCAUUGAGAACUUUGAGAUACUCCAUGGUGAUCUGCAUGGUUUAUCCGAUACAGUGGCUUUCCUGAAGAGCCUAUCAGAACUUGGUGGUGGAUCUGACCUAAAGAAUCCUGAGAAGCGCCAAUUAAGGGAGCGGAUUGCUGCUGCAGCACUCUUUAAUUGGGAGGUCUUCACCUAGCUUACUCUUUUCUCCUGCUCUUUUUAUCUUUAUCACAUUCUGCUUAUAAUGCUGGGAAUAAAUACAAUCUGCAAAGUUUAUUAUAGUUUUGCUUAAAAUUUCUUCUUGUAUGUCUUCACUCUGUUAUACAAAUGCAGCUAAACUGCAACUUGAAAUAUGACAAUUGGAACAGAUUUGCCUUCAUGUCAACCUCAAUCACAUUGAGACAUGCAUGUUCAACAAUGAACUCAUGCUGGUGGACGUAUCUUUAUUGAAUUAGCUCUUGUCUAGAAAUCCUUCUAUGAGACAAAUCUACACUUAAAUCAUUUUCUAUGAAUCCUUGCUUUUCAAAUCCUUCUGGUGACGUUUAUCAGUGUUAACUUAGUUUUUUCUCUCUUCCAUGAUUCUUCGACAAAAUCUGAGUCCCUCUUCUUUUUGGGGUCUCCAUGUACCAUAUAUCCAACUGAUCAUUCUCAUGAUUGCCUUCUUCAACGCCUUAAAGGCCAAUCCAAACCGAAGAAGAUCGGAUUGAUAACCAGUCAUGGAAAAAGAUGCCUGAUUAUUCUUUUAACCUAUCAGAUUUUACAAUCCGGAAACAUAUGUUAUAAAUAUAUGCAAAGCUUCUAAGAAGUUUAUUUUGCCAUAUAGUCGUGCAUAUUUGUAUAAAUGUUGGCCUAUUAAAAAUCUGACCUGAGAGCAUUGAAAAUGAACAAAGCUGAUAGUAUAAUAUGACCCCAGUAAAUAGUUAUAAUUUAGCUGCAUGCUUCAGGGCUUCUUUUUCUCAUGCAGGAAGAAAUUUAUGUUGCAAGAGCACCUGGAAGGUUGGAUGUCAUGGGAGGAAUUGCAGAUUAUUCAGGAAGCCUGGUUUUGCAGGUUAGCUUCCUUUCCUGGCAAGUGCAUAUUGUUAACCAAUAACCCCUUAUGGCUCAUUCCAGCUGUUUUGAACAGAUAAAUGCCUCUUUGAAGUCUGAACGAAAGUUUCUUCAUUGGUUUGUUUAACACCAUCCAGUUCCUUCAUUGUAGAUGCCUAUCAGAGAUGCCUGCCAUGUGGCUGUUCAGAAGAACCAUCCGAGCGGGCAAAAACUCUGGAAACAUGCUCAAGCACGUCAGCAGGCAAAAGGACAUGGACCUAUUCCUGUGCUACAAAUUGUACGUCAUAUAACAUACUCAUUUUUUAAGUCAAAAUUUUCUUUGUAACAAGUCUGUUUGCCACAUUGAAGUCCAGGUAAAAAGUUACCACAAACCUCUUUACCUUUUAGAAAUCUGGAUUAACCAUGUAGUGUGAAUUCUUUGACACGCCUUCUAAUGCCCUUGAUCAUUAUUUAAAUGCACUUUCUUCUAACUAUUAGACAUCCUUUUGAUUGUUUACCUACUUGUUCCUGUUAACAUUAUUCUUCUAAGAUACUAUUCUGUCUUUAUGUUUGUUAGUUUUAAGAACUUAAUUGUUACUAAUGCCUAUAUAUUAUUUUUUAAAUCUGAGUUUUAUAAAAAAUUGCUAUUGCUGAUUCCUAGCCUAUAUAGGUGUCAUUUGGUUCUGAGUUAAGUAACCGUGCACCAACCUUCGAUAUGGACCUAUCAGACUUGAUGGAUGGUGAGCAUCCAAUUUCCUAUGAAAAAGCCCAUGAAUACUUUGCUCAAGAUCCGUCUCAGAAGUGGGUGUCUUUUCUCCCUAAAAUGAUGAUUAAAUUCAUUGUUAUGUCGUUUAUUGUUUCAUUAAUAUGUGUUCUGUCUCAGAUGGGCAGCUUAUAUUGCUGGAACAAUUCUUGUCUUGAUGACUGAGCUUGGCGUGUGCUUUGCAGACAGUAUAUGCAUACUGGUAUGACGUCAUGCCUAAUGCAACUAGCUGUAUAUCCUAACCUAAAAUUAUUAAUUUCAAGAUAUGUGACAGUUUACAUUUUAUCUAGCAGUUCAUAGCAAAAGGUUUAAGGUGGUUCAACAACUAAGUGAAGAGAUACUAUAUCACAUGUUUAUGAUCUUAUAGAUAUGUAUAGUUUUCCAGUUGGCAUGUGUGGUGGGAAAGGAAUUGAAGCAUCCAAUGGAGUUCUUCAUAUUUUCUUGUUAAAGGAAUUUUGUUCUCACUUAUAUGAAUUUCUCCAUUAUCUCUCAAAAGAACAAUUUUCCCAUGAAAAUCAAACACGGAGCUUGACUUUGGGAGCAAAAACCAAAGUUAGCAUAUUUUGUCGCCACUCUCCAUGGAACAAACAUGUGGGAAGCAUGACUUAACCUGUUCAGCUGUCAUUGGAGAUUGGAGAAACCUAACCAGGCUAAAUGUCUAGGGGCUGUUUUCUUUUUUCAUGUUUUUAAAAUAGGAAAAAGAAGUAAUGAUGGCCUUGAAUGCAUGAGGUGGACCUGUUUAUAUUAAUUUCAAAUUUUAAAAAAUAAGUGACAAAAAAUAUAUUUUGAAGAAUAUGUUUUCUGCUUACUGUUUGCAAAGCUACCAUCUCCUACUAUACUACUAUAAUUGCUGCCUCCAGUACACCACACAACUGUCAAAGGUGUUUUACAUUUUUCUUGUUUGUAAACAUACAAAAUGAUGAUUGCCAAACUUAUUUCCUGUUUUCGAAAAUUUAGAAACAAGAUAAAAGUAAAUGGAUUAUUCCCUUUUUUUUGAAAAAGAAAACUGGCAUGUGGCAACAAGACCAAACAGGCUCUAAGUUGGCUAUCUAUAGUCCCUGAUCACAAGGGAGAGAAUGUGAUCUUUGAUUUAAGUGGUUAACAAGAUUAUCCAUCCUCAAAUGUAUGAGGCAUGGCUUGUUGAUUGUUGUUGAAAUUAUGUUGGAGUAAAUUAAGAUAUGAAUAAAUCAGUAAAAGACAUGUCCAUUGUUAUGUCAAAAGUUGGAUUCUAGCACACGGGUAUUGUGCAUUUUAUCUUUUUCAACAACUCUCUAUUUCUUCAAGAACUGCAGUACAAAUGAUGCUUUAUGCAUAGCUAAAAAGUAUAUAUAUUAUCUUCAGAUCUUUAUAUGGUGCCGUAUAACCAAAUUAGUCCAUCUGUAGUAGCUUUAAGAUCAUUCCUAACCAUUUUUUAAGCUGAAAAUGGAUUAAGAGGUGGAUCGGCAUUCCUUUUGGUAGAAGCAUGAGAAAGAAUAAUAAUUGCAUUUAUCUGGCUUAUGAUUGUCUUGUAGCAUUUGUCCAAGCUCUUUCUUUAUGGACUUAAAAGCCAAGAUGCUAUUCUCAGCUUAUCAAAGAUAUAGUUGCACACAAUCUGACCCUACAUUUCUUAUGAUAUUUCUGCAUGAUUCAGGUCUCUUCUGCCGUUCCAGAAGGCAAGGGUGUUUCUUCUUCAGCAGCAGUGGAAGUAGCCACCAUGUCCGCAAUUGCGGCUGCUCAUGGUUAGUUUUUAUGUAUAAACCAUUCCUCUGGAAAUGACUAUCUUGGAAAGCAACUAUAUUUAGUUGCUUGAAACUGAAUGAUAUCGAUGUCUUAUGUUCCUCAGUUGUAGGCUCACACCGGUAAACAAUUUCGUAUAUUUAGUUAAGAAAUUCUACCGCAUCGGUCAAACCAAUCUUCAAUCGCAUAGUUGCUCAUAUAUAAUAACGUAUUGAUCUUGAUUAAAUUAAUAAUUUAUAAUAUGUAGAAUGCACUGUUAGUUGUUUAGGUACAUAUUCAAGAUCGUGAAUCCUUGGAGAUUGUUUUGGUAUUGGACACUAUACUAGAAAUCUUUUAUUACAUUCAAACAUCUAACGUUAGUUCCAGUUUUUGCAUUCUGUCUUUGUUGAGAAAAUUUUGCCUUUUCUUAUAGAUGCAUAAGAUGCCAAUGUAAUGUAGCCCCUAAUACGUAUGACAUCAGUAAGAUGUGGUGUUAAACAUGUAACAAAGCUAAGGGGCAGAUGAGUGAAGUCCUGCAGAUUUAAUCAUUAGGCCAUUUUUUUGUAUUCAUGAAUCAGAAGGAACAGAUUGGACAAAUUUGGACUCACAAAGGAGGAUGGAUCUUAAUUUUUUUUGUCCAGUUUAAACUUCUCACACUUUAAUUAUUGACUCAUCCUGACCCUUUUGGGCUGUGCUUGGAUGCUGGAAUGGUAAAACCAUAGUUAAUCAGUUAUCCAGCGAAACACCAUCAUUUUUUUGACGGUUGCAAUUAAGUAGUCAAUGGGACUUUACUUGGCUAACCUGGUUAAAUUUUUUUUGGGGUGGGGAGUAAGUUUAACCACCCCAGGCUCCCCUUCAUUUUGCCUCCCUGCUUUACACUUCUCCCCUCUCUUUUCAUGCUGCCUUUUUUUGUUCAUAUAGCCAGAAAAGUCACUUAACCCAUGCCUUUUUUAACCAAAUAGCAUUUUCUACAUGUCAACAACAAGGGUUGGAUAAGCGAGCAGUCGCCAAAAAAACCCUUUCAGAUUCAUGAAUUAGUUGAUAAGUGAUGGAGAAAUUUAGUUAAAGUUAUCUGCCCCCUUGAUUAGCUACCCUGGAACCAAACAUUGCCUUGGUGCCUAGGUCAUGCGUUGCCCAAGAUUGGGAAACCUGGUUUCGUUUUGGUAUUGGCUAUGUCCUUGGGAUUUUGGUUUCAGAGGUUCUGCUCUAAGUUUUGGAGUUUUGGACAAAAAAAAUCAAUAAAAAUUCAAAAAUAAAAAUAUAAUAAAAAUAAAAGAAAUCAAGAAAAGCCAUUAAUCAGCAAUUUAGAGUAUUUUGUGUUAUAUAGGCUUCUUCAUUUCAAUAAUUUUAGGCUGAAAUUAACAUUGCUUGUAAGUGAAUAUUUAAGUAUUUUUUACUAUGAACAAGUAUAUAUUUAAGGUACUUUGAACAUACAUAUAUUUCUUGCUUCUUGAAUUUUAGUUGUCUGAAAAUCCAUUAUUUGACAAUUUUGCAUUUUUGUAGUGUUGAAUGAAUUCAGUUCUUCAUUUUCCUAGUAGAACGCAUAAACAUAUUGAAUUUUCAUGUUUCUAUUGUUAAGUGUUUAUUUAAUAAAAUGUGUAUAAUUACAAUCAUAUAUUUAUGUAGAAAAGGAUCUUAUUUCUUUGAAAUAUCUUGGAUUUGUUAUUUGCAUUCAAGGCCUACCGAACCAGUAUUGAGGCUCGUACUGAUAGGCGACACAUUCAUACCAUGCCAUUCAUGGAGAGGGAAGGGGAGAGAGAGGAGAUGGAGGGAGGUAGAGGGAGAGGGAGGGAGAGAAGGGAUGGAGAGAGAGAGGGGUGGAGGAAGUUCGAGCUGUCGUGGUGGAGCUUCAAGAACUCUGAACUGGCAAUGGGGACCGAGGGAGAGAGAAUGAGAGAGUGGGAGAGGAAGGAAGUUCGAGUCACUAUUCUUUGGUUCCAACGAUGGGGAUUGGAGAAGAGAGGGGGCAAGAAACUCACCUGGGAUGGGCUUGGGGGCGGCGGGCUUCGAAACUGCACAUCGAGCAAGGAAGAAACAGAGGCCAAAAAAAUGCAGCUCUUAUAUAUUACUAAAUCGACUAACUAACUGUGCCAGUAACCAACCAGUCCUAUUCGGCAUAGCUUGGCUAACCUUGUUUGUCUUAGUUCUCAUUAUGUCUCUUAGUAAGGGCUUUUCUAAAGGUUCCAAUCCAUUACGGGUUAUGUACUUAAAUUUGCUAUCUAUUUCCUCUUUUGGCUUAAGGAAAAAAAAAGAAAAUCAGUGAAAAUUACUGUUAUACGGACUAUGCACUAAAAUAAAUAAAGAAAUGAUUCUAGUAUGUUUGUAAAUACCAAAUAAAUAUUCAAAAUAAAUAGUAACUAGUUUCUAUCAGUUUCAGCUGAACUUGACCAAAACCAUGAAACUGGAUCAUAACUAGCCAAUUUCAGCCGAAACAAGCUGAAACCGCUGAAACAGACUAAAACCCAAAAUUAGGGCUCAUUUUCAUACAAAUAAAUAUUCAAAAUAAAUAUUAACUAGUUUCUAUCAGUUUCAGCUGAAACUGAAACCACGAAACUGGAUCAUAACUAGCCAGCUUCAGCCGAAAUAGGCUGAAACCACCGAAACUGACUAAGACCCAAAAUUAGGGCUCAUUUUCAGUUGUGUCUUGGCAUUGGUUCAUAAACACCAUUUCUAGUGUAGGUGAACCACAGGUUGUCCAGACAUAGGUCCUCCCACCUUCCUCAAUGCCAUAGCCUCUUUUCUUUUCUCUUCUCCCUGCCCUAGCUUUGACACCAAAAUCCCAAGAAAUCUGUCUCUGCUUGUGAUCUAUACCUCCUUUAAGGACCCAACUUCAAAACUAGACACAUCUUUGCCAUUGGUCCAUGUUGCAAUUGGGGAUUUCCCCCAUAUCCUUGCCUAUGUCCAUAGAUCUGCAUUGAUCAAGGAUUUUUCACGAGAACCACUAAAUUAUGCUGGCAUCGGGGAUUUUUUUGCCAGAUCCUUGGGGCUUCUCCUGGCUGGAAUUGGCUGCUCUUGCUGCUGCUAGAAAGAGAGGAAGGAAGGAAGAAAGGCAGAGGCAGGAGAUGGCAAUGAGAUGGUCUCCAAACACUGAGAUAGGAAACGUUUGACAGAAGAAAGAAGUAAGAGGGCCUGGCCAUCAGGUUUUGGGUUUUCCUUUUUUUCUCUUUUUUAAUCAUGCUGUCUGGCCCAGUGAGCUGGUACAGUAGGAACAGUUUUUAAAUGUCCAGGUUCAGCCCAAUCAGACCCACAUUUAUUAAUGGGUAAUGGGUCGAAUAGGAUAGUCUGACACAGACAAGUUCUUGAACUCUGCUUUAAAGCUUUAAUGUUUGUCAAAUUCUUAUAUAAGUAGGUUUGCAUGUUUCAUACAUUAUUAACAUGUAAUAGUAUAUCCUGCUUUUUACGAUUUAUCAAUAUGCAUGCUAAGGUUUGCUCAUUGUCAAUGUGGAUUUGUGUGUCAUUUUGUGUACAGAAAUAUCUUGGCUAAUAACCAUAUCCAGUGAGACGUAUCCCAUCUAUUUGAGUUUGGCUCUAUGAGUUAAUUGUUCAUUUUAUUGAAAGUUACCUUUUUUAGUAAUGCUUUCCUGUGUCUCAUCUUUAUCAACACAAAUAUAAUCCUUUCCCGAGGCAUCCUCUGAUUUUUACUGCACGUAUAUACAAUACUAUGUUGUUUUCUAUACCCUAAUCUCAACUUAUGGAACAUAUUUGCUUCCUCUAAGGUGCUGCAGUACCCACUGGACAUAUUUGCAAUUAAAUUAAUAUUAGUUUCAUCAACUAAUGCUACAAGAUGAAUAAUUGUAUGUUCUCCAGACUUAAAUUUUUACUGUUGUUAUUGAAGAUUUGAGUUUCAAACUGCACAUUGUAUAUUAUGAUCUCUCCGUAUUCUUGAGGAAACUCAUCAAUGGGAUUAACAAUGUUGAUUUUCAUGUCUUCAGGGUUGAAUAUUGAUCCAAGGGAUCUUGCAUUGCUUUGUCAAAAGGUAUUUUUUGAUGUACAAGUUUCUUGAUCAGGUGUUUCGCAUUGUCUAGUGGUGAUGCAAAUGAAUUAUAGUUUCUCAGACUGUUCGUAAGCUAAUCUUGCGCAGGUCGAGAAUUAUAUUGUUGGAGCUCCUUGUGGAGUGAUGGACCAAAUAACAUCAGCUUGCGGGGAAGCUAACAAGCUGCUUGCCAUGGUUUGCCAGGUUUGGGCCACUCAUGUUGCAGAAACAUUGCUCUAGUUGCUAUGCAUAGGGUUCUUGAUUCUGCUUGCCAUGGUAUUCUUUCAUGCAGCCUGCAGAGGUAAAGGAGCUAGUUACAAUUCCAACUCAUAUACGAUUUUGGGGUCUUGAUUCUGGAAUACGGCACAGGUAGACAUCUUCCCCUAAUCUUUAGUUAAAUGCCAGGCUCCCAACCAGUCAAAUUAGUACAGUGUAAAUAUGACAAAUGCUAUCUCUUCUUUGCAAUUUAAGCAUAUUUUUGAUGCACUGGCUAAUAUAUUAGUCCUUUUACCAUAGAAGAUAGGACUUUUGUUUUUAAUCCCCAGAAAAAGUCUUGUAUUAAGUUUGGGGCUGAUGAAUGGACUUUUUACUAUUUUUCGCCUUCUGACCAACUAUUUCUGUUUGCAGUGUUGGUGGCACUGAUUAUAGGUCUGUGAGAAUAGGCACCUUCAUGGGGCUUCAGAUGAUAAAAUCUGCAGCCUCUAACCUACUGUCCCAGUCUUUAGGUAGUGUAAGUACUCCUCAACAAGGGGAUGGCAUGAACUCGGAUGAAUUUGAAGAGCAUGGCAUUGAGCUACUUAAAGUUGAAUCUUCACUGAAUUGCUUAUGUAACCUUUCGCCACACAGGUAAGUUAUUUUUAAUAUUAGAUGUAUUUUGCUAUUCAAUCUUCGUCUUCGUAACCUAUUAAUAAUGAAAGUUUCUUUUGUUAAGCACUGCAUUACUAAACAUUAAAACAGUGACAUAUUGAUUUCACUCUGGAACAAAGCUAUUUGAGUAUCUUUUUGAAACUAAAGUAUGCGCUCUUUUUGAUCUUUUUUGCAGAUAUGAAGCUGUAUAUGGAAAGAAGCUUCCUGAGUGCAUAGCUGGAGAAGAAUUUAUAAAUAAGUACACAGAUCACAAUGAUACCGUAACAGUUAUUGAUCCCAAGUGCACCUAUGCAGUGAAGGCGCCUACUAAACAUCCGAUAUAUGAAAAUUUCCGUGUCGAGGUUAGCUCUUAUCAUUAUGUAUUGCUGUUCUUUUUAAAAUUGCAUAGAUCCUGCCCAUGCAUUUGCAAAUCUGUUUACUAGUCCUUGAAAUGUUCGAUGAUAUAUUGGUCAAUCUUACAUCCAUUGCUAGUUGUUUGUUAAAGCAAGGCAAAUGUUUGACUUUUGAUAUGUCAAAUACCCACUAGCACUAGCAUUGUGUAUUUAGUGUCAGAAACUUUGAAGAAAUGCCCACUGGCUUUGAUCAUUGUUAGGUGACAGUCUGUUUGUGAACAUAGAGAUGUCCAUGUGGAAUAUUAUACUUUUGAGCUUUGGUUCUAUAAGCUUACGAUUCUCAUCAAAUUUUGCAUCAAAAAAUGAGGAUUUCGAAACACUAAUAUACAGACUAUGCAGACAUUCUUACAAUCAUGAUUGUUUUAUUAGGAUGGAAAUUUAGAAGCCUUUAAAUUGCAACACCAGACAAUCCAUGCCACACUACAAGUCAUUAGUUUUCACUCCACAGAAAAUUUUAACUCUUCUGAGUAGACCAAAAAAUAGAUAGAAGAAGAUUAUAUUGUUCUUACGAACCUGACGCUGGUGCUGCUUUCACACUUGUUUUGUUUUCACACUUGGUAAUUCUGUACAUGCUUUUUUUUGUUUAAUCUACAGUCAGUUUUAUUAUGUUAUUCCAUCAUGGAAACUGAUUAGAACUUAAAACUUACCGCUCCGUGGUAUUACAAUGCAUACAGGCCUUCAAAGCAUUAUUAACUGCAGCCAAAACAGAUGAACAGCUUUCUGCCCUCGGAGAACUUACGUAUCAGGUAAAUGUAGUUUCAGUUUCUCUCAAUCAUCAAGUUCCUUUUUUCCGAAAAUAUCAAUACAUUAUUCAAUAUCGUUUAAAUCCUUCACUUUGUCAUCAAAACAGUAAUAAGAUGUUCCAGUUCAAUUUAAAUAACCUAUCACCUUCGUGUAAAUUUUGAUUGCCCUUGUUAUUUUGUCAACAGGAUUCCUGUCAGGAACUACUUUCUCCACUAACAAAGUUCUUUAUUCUGUCAUAUGCAUAAACCUGAUAGCCUAUGUAAUUACAAUUUUCAAAUUCAAACUUAUAGUAAAGUCUGUGCACAGUCCUCUUCUUGUAAUCCUGAAUUUGAAAAGCAAUGUUUCCAUAUUUGUUUUGCAUAUGAGAGUAAAUUUUUCCAUCCAAUUCUUGCUUUGCUGCAGUGCCAUUACAGCUACAAUGACUGUGGACUUGGCUCGGAUGGGACAGAUAGACUUGUUAACUUGGUGCAAGAAAUGCAGCACAGAAAAUCAUCCAACGGUGAAAGCUCUAGUUUAUUUGGUGCAAAAAUCACUGGUGGAGGCUCAGGUGGCUCAGUUUGUGUUAUUGGAAGGAACUGCAUUAGGAGCAGCGAGGAAAUUCUUGAGGUAUUUUUUCUAAAGAUCUUGGUUGCUCAUCAGUUUAAGAAUUACCAAAGAAAUAAGUUUGAUACUGUUUUGAAUGAUAACAAUGGGGGGACAAUAAUAUUGGUAGCCAUCACUCCGGAUUUGGGAAUAGGAGGCAUCACGUCUUGCCGAAGAGGAAUUACUGAUUGUUGUAGUAUCCCCCUUUACAAUCAUAAUUGUUCUUCAAGUUUCAUCAUCAUUACUUGGUUGUCCUGCUUUUUAGUUUUAUAUGAACUUAGGUUGGUAAUUCAUGCAUGGCAAUCUUGCAUCCUUAUGUUUGUUUUAAAAUUUAUCAGAUUCAGCAAAGGUACAGAGCUGCCACUGGCUAUCUGCCGAUCAUUUUUGAGGGCUCGUCACCCGGUGCUGGAAGGUUCGGCUACUUAAGACUGCGACGUCGGGUAUCCUCAGCGGAUGGGAACAUGAAACAAGUCAAGGGGGCCUGAAGCCCCAGUAUGUAAGGUUCUCCCACAUAGAAGAGAGGAACAAUUGAUGUUAAUGCCUAAAUCAUAACAAAACAUAAUCUAAUGUCAUUUUAACUAUCUAUUCUUUUGUCGACAUGAUAUAUAGUUUAGCCAUCACCAAGUAUGUAAUUUUUGGUUUCUAAGCAUUUUCAUCGAUAUAGAUCAAUGAUAUAGAUCUUUAAUUUAAAUGCUUUAUUAUUGAUUUUUAAUGUGACAGAACAAAGACUGAAUUUUCUCUCUGCCUAUCAUAACAUGCCAUGUGUUCAUCAACAGAAAACAAUGUGUUCAUCAGGCUUUCCUAUAAAAGAUAGAAAAUUGGGGAUGGCAGAGGGAAAGGAGUGUUUUUUUUUUGUCCUUUCCUUUUGGUUUGUUGGGUUCUGGGCGCGCGUGGCGAGCGUUUUCCUUUGCGUUAUAAUGUCACCAAGCAUUUCCGCCAGAACCUUGUUCCUUGUGCCAACAUUGCUCAUCAUCUAACCUUGCUCCUCGGCCGGACGUGCACGUAUGGUUGCACUCUUUCCACCUUCAAAUUGGUCUGAGUCUUUGCACCUGCGAUUGGGUCUCACCAUGAAAGGGAUGGAAUUGAGGUCCAUCCAGCCCACUCGCACCCCGUUAAUAAUAAAAAGUAGGCGGCCCCACCAUUUGUCACUCGGUGUGCCUGCAGUAUAAAGGAGCACUCCACUCACUGGUUGUGAUUCACCGCCAGCACCUGGUCGGCCGGUCGAUUUUACAACAUGGUCUCCUAGUGCUAAAGCAGACAUCUCUUGUUGGUGUCAAAUCCAAGCAACCUCCCCCAAAUAUUCCCAAGCUGGCGAAUUCAUCCAAAUAACCUUUUUUCAUCCUUCCAAGCCCCAAUGAGAGCUGAGUGGAAAGGAAGGAUAGAUGCGGUUUCGACUUUCGAGGCUAUAAAGAGCCCAGUCUCGGAACACAUGAUCGAUAGCUUUAAGAUCUUUGGAAGAUCCUAAUACAUUCAAAGGUCAAGCAACAAGGAUAGGAGCAUAGAUUGGACAUCACUCACCCACUCACUUGGGAAGCCCAGGUGAUGGACUUGGUCCUCCGGUGGCGGGGGUCACGAGAUUUGGAUGCCCCUCCAACUACGACUCACCCGUGCCCUCCCCGGCUCUCCNNNNNNNNNNNNNNNNNNNNNNNNNNNNNNNNNNNNNNNNNNNNNNNNNNNNNNNNNNNNNNNNNNNNNNNNNNNNNNNNNNNNNNNNNNNNNNNNNNNNNNNNNNNNNNNNNNNNNNNNNNNNNNNNNNNNNNNNNNNNNNNNNNNNNNNNNNNNNNNNNNNNNNNNNNNNNNNNNNNNNNNNNNNNNNNNNNNNNNNNNNNNNNNNNNNNNNNUUCGAUAUUAUAUAAUAUAACAUAUCAAUUUAUUAUGAUAUAAUGUAAUAUAAUAUUAUAUUUAUGGUAUAAUACAAUAUUUUGAUAUAAAAUAUUAUAAUUAUUAUCAUUAUAUAUUAAUUUUUUAUUAACAUAAUUUUUUUUGUAUUUUAUGGUAUGAAGGGACACUUUCUGUAAUUAUAUGAUUUUAUCAUGAAUAUUUUGGUCUAAAGAAAAAGAAUUUAUAAAUCUAAAAUAGCUUCCCACCCGCGUGUGCUAAAAGUUUUUUUUUAAGAAUCUUCAUUUUAGAGCUCCUUCCAAAUAGACGUUUUUUAGUUUUUUUUGGUAAAGUUAAAAUAAUUUUUUGAUUUUUUUAUUAAACAUUACUAUUUAAUUCAAAAAUAUUUUUAGAGCAUUAAAAAAUACUUUCUGGUUUAUCAAAAUUUCUGCCAAAUAAAAUUAAGACUUUGAUUUGGAAUGACAGACUCGAGUAGAGGAUUAUUUUUGGACGCAGGGCAGUUUUACGAAGCAGCAGGUAAGAUGGACCCAGCUGGAUGCCAAGUAGAACGAAACCGCGCCGGAAACAGCAUGAGGAAAUGGGUCCGUUUGCAGCUAAAAAUAGAGCUCGAGAUCCAAAGCAAACACUCGACUGGACUUGACCCGAGCCAACCGUCUCUCCGAUCCAAGAUAUUGGUGAAGAUAUGCAUGGGUCAUUAAUUAAGGUGGUGGGGGCAGAGACAUGAAUGAUUGGCUUAUGAAACGUCCACUUCAGCCGGUGGGAAAGAGAUUGGCUUCCGAACGUAGCCAAGAGAAGCGAUGGCCGCUCUGAUUGAGGUCCGUAUCAAGCGAGCUGGCUCUUGUGACACUGGGGGAUGCAUGAGAACUAGUGCCGGAUUUUGCAUUUUAAUGCGCUUUUGGCUGCAUCUUCGUGUGGGCAUGGCACCAAAGAAGAUCCACUUAGUUUUGCGGUGCCAAGAGAGGCCAGAUUUGCCUUCCAUCUCAUGCCAGAGCUCAAACUCAUGGAGUUUUUCGAAAAUGUCCGAUGAUGAGGUCAUGGGAGUUCGAUGAUUUAUUUGAUUUAUUUAGCUACGUCAAUGUGACAUUGAUAGGGUUGAGCAUGGAUGUGUCCUGCCGUUCUUUUCGUAAUAGAAAGUUUUAACUACCUGUAGUUAAGUCUCUUGCUCGACUAUCGGUAUUGUUCGUUGGAGCAGUUCCACCGAACAGUGUUGCUGAAAUUAUUUAUUCUCACUGCGACUGCGACUGCGAGCUCGGUCUUAGGGGCUUCAGCAAAGCAUACUGCUGGCUUUCCAUCUGAACGAGUACAAGUUCUUAUUCCGACUCCUUUCUGGUUGAUAGACUUGAAGUCAUUAUUUAUGUCAGUCCAUUGGAAUUAUAUACUGGUGACAUUUAUGUAUGUCUCUUGUAUUCUGGAAAGAGAGAUGCUGAAUGAAAAGCUUUCAGUGGAACACUUCUAUUGUUUGGCUCUAGCUUGUAUUUUUCGUUUGUUCCUUGGGGGGCUGGAAUUGUCUUAAAAAAGAAAAAAUCAUGCAGCAUUACUUUUAUCAACAAAUUCGUGCAUGGCUGGUUUUUUCACAGGUUAGCAAGUUUAUUAGAAAACAAAUUCUAAAAGUUUUUGACUAGUCUCACGUGCCAAAAUGGGAAGGUCUUUUUUUAAUGGAAAAAUGAGCAAGUUAAUUUGGCAAGAUUAUUUUGUUACUCCAGCCGUCGUAGAUUCUAGAAUUUUUUCUUUAGUAGCAACAUGAGAAGCAUUCAUGUCACAGACUUUCAGCUGGCUGGAUCUUUUCUUCUUUUUUUUGGAGGUGAAAGUGGAUUGAUAAUGAUUUUUUUGGAUUCUUUUCCGUAUCCAAAUCUAUCCGAAUAUGGAUAGAAAUUUGAACAUUAUGCUAAUAUUCGUAUUUAUAUCCAUAUUUAAUAGAGAAAAAUGGAUAUGUAUACAUAUGAUAACUAUCUCAUUCAUAUUCGAAUAUCCGAUUCUAUUUGUGAUUUUAUUUAAUUUUGCAUAACACUCAUGAACUCUUAAGAAAGUAUAUAACCAUAUUAACAUGCUACUAACUUAAUUUUCCAUCUACUUAGUAAUAUCUUUGAUUUUAUGCCUAUAGAGUUUAAUUAUUUAACUUAUAUCUAUAUUUAUAUCUAUACUUCUAGUAUCCAAUCUGUAUCCGUAUCUGGUCCAUAUCUAACUCGAUUUCAGCCUACUUUUUAUAUUACAAUUAUUGAAAAGUUUGAUCUCUACUUUUAGAAAGGAUCUUCUGAUAGGCUAAGCUCAUGAAUAGUAAAAGCGCACCAUUGAGGUCUACACAGCCACCGCACACUAUUGAUCGAGAAAGCCCCUUAAUCAUAAGAAGAUAACAAAGAUCAUAAGAGGAUGAUUAAGAAAAGUAAUUUGGAUGCCUUUCUUAAAUAUCAACUAUAUAGGUAUAUCAAAUUGGACCCAUCCAAGUGAUUGUUCUAUACUUGGAAUUUUACAUGAGUUCUAUUUUUGCCUCCUUUUUGUGGUCGUGGCCGAAAAAGGGUCCAUCUCUUUUCCACAAAGUGGACCUCCCAUCCACUCAUCCACCCUUUUCCAAUUUCAUUUGAUGUCAAUGGAUCGCGGAGGAGUAUCCCCACCAUGGGGCCGAUAUAAUAAUGUCUGCCACUAACUCACACGUGUCCGUAUCCAGUCUACCCAGAUCAUCCCCUUCAUCUAAUGAAGGAUCUAUAAUUAAAGCAUUGCCUCUAUAAUUAAAGCAUUGCCCUUGCUAACAAUAAUUGGCUCUGCAUUUGUUUCGAGAUGAAAACUAUCAUAUUCUAUUCUAUUAUAUAUAUAUAUAUAUAUAUAUAUAUAUAUAUAUAUAGAGAGAGAGAGAGAGAGAGAGAGAGAGAGAGAGAGAGAGANNNNNNNNNNNNNNNNNNNNGAGAGAGAGAGAGCGCUAAUUAAACUUGAGCGGAUCUUCAUUCAAAUUCGAUCAAAUCAAAGAUUGAACAAUGCAGAUUUCAUAUCGAUGAUUCGAGUGGGUGGAUAUAAUCUGCUACCUCUAAAUUAUUUAUAUACCAAAAAUUAUGUAAUUUAGAGAUCUCUGGCCUAUGCAUCAACUGAUAAAAAAAUAUAUAGAAUUUAAUUUUAUUUAAAUUAUUUAAUUUUUUUGUGGCUUGAUGCAUUAAAUAGAGAUCUUCGGAUCUCAUCAUUUUUAGUAAUGUAGGCAUAGUGGUUCAUAUCCAACAGCUUAUAUCAUCAAUGCAGUACCUCCAUUAUCUACUAUAAAUCUAAUCGGAUCUGAUUAAAGAUCCAGCCUAAUCUAGCUUUAUACACACACACAUAUAGUUAAUAUUUGACUAGUUGAAUUUUCCACUUCCUAGCUCCCAUCUAUUUAGUCCACCCACCCACUAAAUAUUGUUCAUCUGAUCCUAGGGUUAACAACUAAGAGUUAAACAUUACAUCUGGGACGAGGCCAAAAUAUCUGAGUGGGACUCGACUCAGCACACCCUUGGGCAUACACAAGUAGGUCCACCACUAUGUGAAGAGGGGUCCUUUCUUGUAUCUUUCCUCGUUCUUCAGCAAUAACUAGGUCAGGCGAAAGGGCUUCCUUCCUCUCUGCAAUUGGUCAGCUUCCUCCUAGCCCAAGGCUUGUUUCUCCACAAGCUGAGAACCAGCAACAAUUAGGUUUCCUUUGAGGAGACAUGUUGCAUUCUGGUGUCCCCCUGAAGGGCACCCAAAGGAUCAAAUGUUGUCCCUUGAAGGAGGAAAACAAUAAGCAGAUCAUAGAGCUAUCAUCUUGAUUGAUUAGCGAUCAUGUUGUUGGAUUUUAUUGUUCCUUUGCCGAUUUCGAGAGACGCAGAGUCUAGGUCAAAUGCAAGUAACUAGAGCUAAUUAAUGUCUGUUGGUAUUGAUGUUGGCCAACUUAGAGUGCUGCUCUUGGAUCAAAGUUGUAACAACCUAGGAUCUUACCAAAAAAAAGCUAGCCGGAAGGUAUUAUUUGAGUUCCUUGAUUCUGUAUAAAUAGCGAAGAUCUACUCGGUGAAUAACCGAUAUGGGACUAAACAUACACUUGCACAUAUUCUCACAUACUCCCUCCGGUCAAGCCCUAACGUCCUCGUCAGGCUAAGAAUUCAAAUCUAAUCACAAACACCAUAAUCGGCUCGUAGUCAACCCCAGUGAAUACGUGUUGUAGUGUCUCCUAGUCCACAUAAGUUAUGGGCCAUAUCCGCUCUGAUAUUUUUUGUCACAACCUAGGACCUUAUUCAACAUGGCUAGCCGAAAACUAUUAUUUGAAUUCCUUAAUUAUAUAUAAGUACCAAAAAUCUACUCAGCGAAUAACUGAUGUGGGACUAAAUACACGCCUGCACGGGUUCUCACAAAAGUACAGACUGUUAAAGGGUUGGUUCCCUCUUAUUUUGCAUAGAAGUGUUCUGCAGGGAUUUGGAAGCUAAUGUUAUUGGAACUUAAGUAUCUAUUAGCUAAUAAAAUUCAUUGCAACUUUGAUCUUUUCCAUGGGAGGAUGUCUUGUCAAUUUCUGUCUAGUUCUUUCAUCUGCAGUUGUGAUGAUUCUAGAAGGAAAGAUCCAAUACAACCUUCUAAUUAGAUGGCCUACUAUUUAACUUUGCAUGAUGUGUUUAAAAUUCUAACUAGAAACAAGGACCCAUCAAUUAAAGAAAUUUGACUUGAAGGUGCAGUAAACCUUGGAGUGUUUUGUAGCCCCAUCAACUUGCCUGAGAUUGGGGAAUUAGGGGGGGCAUCAUGUCGACCACCAUGAGGACAUUGAUUGCACCACCAUGAGUUAUGAUCCAGCCUUAAGGUUGCAUGUGUUCUUCAAAGGUGGUCAUGGAGGGGAGAAGGCUGCAUGUGUUCUCUUAAGCAUAUGGUACUAGUUAAGACCACAAUUGCUAGUUAUUGUAGAAGCAUGCCAUUAAGAUGCUAAAAAGUUCGAACCUAAUUUCUACAUAAAUUGGUCAAUCCCAGGUUUUAGGUCUCAAUCAACCUCUAAAGGAUUAAUGGAUUAAAUAGCAUGAAGACUGCAAGACCAACACAAGAAGUUUGUUUUGACAUUAAGUUGGCAUUUCAUGACCGCUUGUGCAGGGAAUACUUGAUAUCUUUAUUUUUAAGAUUCAAUUGAUUAGCAGUAUAUUAAUUCAUAGUUAAUUAUAAAAUCACAGGAAUAAAGGGUUCGGUCUAAAGUAAGUUCGGGCAGAAGUAUAUUCCAAGAUAGAUGCAUUAAAGUUGAUGGAUUUUUUUUAAGAGAAAAAGAAAAUAUCUCCAUCAAAAUAACGCAAGAUCUCAUCUCCCUUCGUUUGCUUCGUGAGAGUUUACUACCUGCCUAACCCUUUGCUUUGAGGGACUGUAGAACAGAAAGUACCUUCUGAAAACACCUUAUGAGAAAUUUGAUAAAUUUAAGGAAAAAAAAGAAUUAGUCGGAAUACAUUAUUUAAAUUUAUUGAUAUCCAAUUAAACACAUGUUCUCACAUUAAUGAUGCAAUUCUAGUUUUAUUCAGCUAUUUUUUUUCUUUUUUUUUGGGUAUACCAGCUUCUUACACCGAGCGUAUUGAGUAUAACCAUGUAGGAAGCCACCCAGUCGGUAGCUAUGUCACCUACUUAGAGAUGACAAAGCUUGCAAGCAGAUCACCAAUCCUACACGCCAAGCUUAUCCAGGAUUAGAUUCCAGCAAGACAUCAUCAGAUCCCCACACUAUUAAUUUACUCAGAACAAAAGACCUAACUCCAUGUUCCAAAGGCCAGCCACAGGCCACGCUGCUUGAUUUCAGGACGGAGGUCAGCUGUCUCCCAAAAGCCCAACCGGAGGGUGGAAGGAUGUCGGCCCUUUGAGCCUUCGGUGGGCCUCGCCGCACCGUCGCCAUCCAAUCAAUCAUUCCUCCCUCCCCCGUUUCUUCAUCCUCCACCGUGCGAUGUCAAGGCAGAACUGGAAUUUUUUGAGGAACACCCUGGACCAGUGUACUUGCACGGUGAGCUCGGAUGCCAAAAAAAAUAAACGUUCGAACCCACAUCAUGGCAUUCCAGCUGUCAUGCAUGCCUCGGAAUAUCUGAUAUUUUUCUAAGUACAUGAUGUCGGUUAUGCCAACCGGUGCACCUAAACCACGUUCUUGACAGCGGGGUUUCCUUAUUUUUAAGUAAUAAGACCGGAACUAUGUGGGAGGCUCGGGGAGCGGUAAGUAUUGCCAGGAAUUCAGCGACGGUGGGCCCUCGUCUCGCGGAUGAGUUAGAUUAAGAUAAGUUAUUAUUACCCAGGUGCGGUUAUUCUUUUUAUUGGCUACGGCUGAAUAGGCCCCUCAAGCCAUGUCUUGCCCUGGAUGUGACCGCACUGUCCCAAGCAUUAAUUACUCAUAAAAACCUUUUUUUUUUUUUUUAGACAAGCAUCCAUUUUAAUAAAAUAGCAAUUGUAAGGCUGUACAUCAUAAUUUGUUAUUUUCUAAUUUUAUUAAAGUGCAAACUAGAGGACUUGUUAUAUGGUCUACUUUUUUUUUUUUUUUGGGCUUGAAAAUAAACAGAGAAGACAAAACUUCACCCAUGUAGUAGCCCUCACUGGGCAUCCUUCCACUAGAAAAUAUUCGAUGCGGAUAAAAAUUUUUGCUCAUAUCUUUUCCGACCAGUAGGUUAUUCUACGUGUGAGUACGUUAUUACAGCACCACCUCAGUGUCAGCUGGAGCAGAUAGCGUUCCCAUCGAGUGUGUCCAAGCGAGAGGCAUGCAGUUUCCAACAUUUAAUCGAUAUCUGCGUAUUUCGAAUCUGAACUAUGCUGAUGAAAAUAAAGCUCUAUUCUAAUUGUGCUAUCAUCCCGGUGGCCAUGACCUACAUCUUAUAAGCUGGAAAAAAAAGAGGUUGCUUGGAAUACUUUAUGGCCUGUUAUUUUUAUUUUUAUUAGGAAUAUUCAUACUCAUGAUGUAUAGAAUAUUUGUUAAAAAAUAAUAAUAAAUGCUGGGCCGCCAUGGCCUAUAUAUUGAACCACGCAAAGCACCCGUCCUAUCAACUCUUGCUGAAGAUUGAACUGUGCUGUAGCUUGUAGUUGGAACCUCACGUUGCAGGGCAUCCAUCCCAUCAACUAGGCCAUCCCAUCAAAGAAAGCAAAAUGCCUUCAAGAAGACGUUAGUACCUUCGAGCUAGAUGCCGAGCUAUAAUAUAUAUAGAUAUAUAUAUAUUUCUUCGUGGCCUUUCCUAUAUAUGUGAUCAAAAUGUGGUGCACUUAGCUUUGGGGUACCUGACAUAAUUGUCAUGUUAAUAGCAUCAAUAGGUGCAUCGUCUUUGGCAUCCAAGACCCGUCUCCGUUGCGAUCUGAAGAUAAAAGUAAAGACACAUCUGCUAUAAUAUAGAGAGCUUUUUUUCCCAUAUAUAAAAUUCAUGGUGGGAAAAGAAAAAAAUAAGGCUAAGAUUCGUUACGUGGGCAUCUCAAAUGAAUACACUAUACAAAUUGACCACAUAUAUGUUGGGAUGAACACGACAUAAAUAUAUAUAAUAAACUGAUGGCAUUAAAAGUUUGCAAGCGCAUACCAAAACAUAUAUGCAAUAUAUAUAUUUUUAAAGCAUGAGCAUCUGCACAGGAAAUUUGCAUGGGUGGUGUAGGGUAGCUCGCUUUAUGUCAUUAUCAAACUUAGCUGUAGAAAUCCUCUAUGGCUCUAUCAUUGAGAUUCCUCAAUUGUCCUGAUCAGAGUGAUAGGAUUGAUACAUAUAAAAAGCCAACGAAGCAUUUAUCCAAGAAGAAUAAAUCAUUUCAGAGAGCAGAUCGAUAUAAAGAUUGUUGAGAAUUAAAUAGCUUCCUGUGAGGGAAAUCACAACCAAAGAGCUACUUCAUCCAGAACAAAAACAGCAGGAUGACCAUGCAGUGAUCUAGUUUUUGCUGCUGCAUGGUGCAUGUUCAUAAAUUUUUCAGUGUAAAAGUGCAAUCCUAGUUAAAUGGUUGCUUAGAUACGUUUGAUCGAACUGUAACAUCAUGCUGCCGCUGUGGUUGCAUGUAAAAUAUUUAGACCUGGACUAUUUGUCAAUCGUCUUCAGCAUUCCUGUGGAUAAGUUCUAGAUGGGUGAAAAGUAUUACGUAGAUGACUACCGACCAGCACCAACAAAAGUAUCAUAUAUCUCAACCACUAUUUGUCUAGAUGCAGCAUGACUUGUGAAAGACUACAAUAGGAUGCCGCAACCUUGGCUAAUUAAUCCUAAUUUGUAUACUUGAAUAAUCAUUUUAUAAGCAACAUUACUUCUAUUAAUUAAUUGUAUCUUGCAAUGCGACGAUAGAUUGACGUGCAGUGUAGCUAGUAUUCUUCUCACACUGCAAGAAUUUAUAUGUUUAGGCACAAAAAAUUGAUAUUGUCAGAGAAAAGUUGAAAUGGUGAAGUUUGCAUGCAUCGCGGACGUAUCUUAUAAGAAGGUUCCAACCUUCUUUUUCCAAAUAUUUUAAUGAAUCAUAUGAAUUGAGUUUGGCAGGAGAGACUGAAUAGAAAAGCAAGAGCCAAUCUCCAAGGGCAUUCAGAAACCCCGCAUUAGUUUGUGAUCGAUGCCCACGUGUUAAGUGCAACAGUGGGGGCUUCAUUUAAGUUCUCUCAUUGCUCGUGUAUUUUAUUAUUUAAAACAAUCUCAAGCAGCGCAGCAUGAGCUCCACCGAUCAGAUGACCGUCCAGUCUUCAUGUCGCAUGAUGGCACAGCAUCACUAAACUCAACCAAAUUGGGUCGAAUCUCUAAUUAACGGAAGAAGGGAGUCCCAUGAUCGCCACCUUUCAUUGCAACUAAAACCUAAAAUUUUGGAAGAUAAAAGAUUCUAUCUAAAAACCCAAACAUUCGGAUGGAUAAGCUCAAGAAACUAUAUGAGCACCACAAGAGUUCUUAACCUAUCCGAUGCGGAAUUAUUAUUUCUGAACAAAAACAAUAUAUAUCAGAAAGUGGCCUCGUGAUACUACAAUUUUUAUCAUUUAUUUUUGCCAUUGUAUUUGUUUUUAAACUAGUUUUGGUCUACUAUAACACAAGUUCUAUGAGUAUUUUGCGAGACAUAUGUAUUACCAAGCCAUUUUGCUCGAGUCAAUACAUUGGAUCGCGAAAAUUAAUUGAAAAAAUAAAAAUCAUAUUUUCCAUCGUACUUCAAGUUCUCUAACUCUAAAAAGAUGAGUAUGAGGCGCACACUGAUAAUUAGAACCAACAGUAAAGUUAUCAAGUAACACAUAUGAUGAAGGGAAAAAAAUAAUGGAGACAAGGGAACUCGUGUCUGCGGUCAAAUGUAUCGUCCAUGCUCGAUGCCGGUAACUUUUUUUCCUGCAAGAGACACGUACGUACUUGAAUCUUAAUAUUGUUGAUAUCUAAAUUUUAAAAUAAACUAUAGCAGCUGGAAACUAUAGCUGAAGACCUAAUGUUUCCUUAACAUCCAUCAACAACCAGUUUUUUUCUUUAAUCUCAAUCAACUCUUCUUUUUUUUACAAAAAAAAAAAACAUUGGGGUGACAGCUCCAUUUUGUUAAAAACCAUGCACGCUUGACAUUUUCAAAUGCUGAUUCUUGCCAUGAGCCUCACGAAAAACCUCAACAAGCAAGGCUUGCUUGAAACAUUUUAGCAAGGCUUGCUUGAAACAUUUUGGUCGUCCCUCUUUAAAAAAACCAUGCAGACAAGCUUUUCUUCGUCGACGAUCAAGGAGACCAUUUCCGAGUUCAUGGCACCUUCCAUGGUGUGAUGCUGAAUUCCAUGGAUCGAUGAUCAGGUGUACCGAGGCCCUUCACUCUCCACUAUAGAUAUCUAAGAAGGACCGGAGAUCGAUAUCUAUUUAUAUUUAGUCGCGAAGCUCGCUCUAGGAUAAGGUUGAAAACAAUGAUUAUUGUAGCAUCCUAAAGCAUCUGCUGCAAUGAUUUCAGGAUUUUUGAGUUUCGCAGCGGUAGAAAAAUUUGACCAACACCCACCAACUUGGUUGAAACAAAUGUAGCCAGAUAAAAGAGUUAUUUAUAAUUAGAUCCGAUUAUUUCUAUAAUAAAAAAAAGUCAGUAUAGGUUGGACAAGAGCUCAAUAACUUAAUCAGAAGUGGCUAGAAUAAUAAUAAUAAUGCAGUGGGCUGGCUAAAUGUUUAUAGACUUUCAGCCUGGAGUGGUGAUUCUAGAUUUUUUUGCACCUAAACUAGAAAUGUCCGCUUUUAAAAUUAUAGUUGUCCAAAUAUUAGCCGCAAUAGGACACACAUCAUAUACGAAAAACAUGCUCAUGCAAUAUAGCAACAAUACAUGAAGAAGUUUUAUUGCAUCAUAAGAUCUCUCCGAUUCGAAUUGCUAAGUAUAGAUCGCUAUGAUCAUAUGAUUAUGACAUUGUUUUAGUAUGUUUUCACGUUUUAAAGUAUAGAUUGCCACCAUUUGUUGUAAAAACUAGUAUUUCAAUUUUUAAUAUUUAAAAAAUAAUUAUUAUAACCAAAAUAAUAGAUAAUAAUAGAAGAUAAUUGCAUUAUCUUUCUCUUUAGUUUUUAUUGAAAAUUAUUGUUUCUUUUUACCAUAAAUCACUUUUGGAGGAAAUUUUAGUUAAAAAAUUAAAUUUUGAAAAAUACUAUUUUAUUCUUAAAAAAUAAAAACAACCGUCAUUACUUUUUAUCAUUAUGCAAUAUAUAUUAUAUACGUGUGUAUAAUGUAUUGUAAUAGGAGGUGGCUGAAAUCUCAUCAUGGAAUUGCUGGUCAUCAAAAUCUAAAAGAUCCGGUUCGGCUCAAAGCGGAACCCGGUCGAUAUCAGAGCCCUUCCCGGUCCGCACGAUGGCCGGCACCGAGAUCCGGACAAGACCGCGCGACGCAACCCUGCCGCCGAUGACCCCACGCUGCCCGCGGUCAAACCGGCGGGGCCCCGCCCCCGUACCGUCCCGGAAAACAAGCCGGCGCGGGCCCGCCCUCGUGCUCCACCCUAAUUUUCUGCCCUUUUUUUAAUAAUAAAAAUAAUUAAGGAAAUUAAUCUCUCUCUUCCCCCCGAUAAAAAGUAUGCAUGCGGCAUGGGAAUUUAAAAACCAGAGUCCAGUCACCGUCGCAUGGGGAUUGUGGACCCCGCCAAGCGCCGACAGGGGGACGCCACGUCAGCGUGGUAUAAUUAGGGAGUGGGGCUGUAAUUAAUUAAGCACGCUUAAACAUAAUAGUUAAGUUAAGUAGGUGAUGCAAAGUGGGAUCUAAUCUAAUGAAAGGCCGGGUUGGCCGUACGGACGGCACGUGACGCGCGGCCGCUUCCGGCUCCCACGCUUUCGAGGGUUCGCCCAUCCGUCGGGUGGUUCUAUAUACACCCCCCCCUAUUGCUCAGGACACCCCCCAAAAAUUAAAAAAAAAUUAAAUACUCUCUACACCCCCCCCAUUUGCUAAGGACACCCCUAAAAAAUUAAAAAUUCCUAAAUUACCCCCCACCCUCCCCACCCCCUCACCUAAAUUGCUCUCUACACCCCUCACCUCGCCGGCGAGGUGGUUCCGGGAGAAGCCGGCGAGGUGGUCGGAGAUCGGAAGAAUGCCGGCGACGAGAGGGAGAAGGGGGAACGGGGGAGGAGGGGUUUAAGGGGGGUUUGAGGGGUGUUUUUUUUUUUCUUUUCAAAACGAAACGGAGGAGGAGGAAGGGGGUGUAUGAGAAAAUUUCAAGGGCAAUAUGGUAAUUACACUAAAGGUUAGUUUGGGUAUUUUUUUUUGGUUUUUGGGGGGUGUGCUGAGCAAUAGGGGGGGUGUAUAUAGAACUACCCCCAUCCGUCCUCCAGCCGAGGUUCCUCCCCGCAUGAUUACCCUCGGAAGGUAGGGAAUUCACAGCCAUGCCAUCCAUGAUACGAGAGGGACCCGUAGUGGGAAGGGCGUUCGCAAGUCGGCGCUUUAGAAAGGGGAGCGGGGAAAGGUUGCCGAGAUCUGGUAUCGUUUUUUGCACUAGAAUAUGAGGAAAGUAUUAGAACAAAAAGCCGGACUAACUUUGAAUUUUGCGUCCCACUUGAUGCUUUUUUACUUCAAGUGCCAGGGAUAAAAUCAUCUAGAUAAAGUGAUGUUCCAUACUUGGUAAGUAUUCUAUGGUGCUUUAUGACUUCCAUGCAAUCUACUUCUCUUGGGAGCUAUUAGGAUAUAUUUGGUACAUGAAUGAGAGGUUUCAGUGAAUUAUUUGUUCUCCUCUAUCACGGUUUUUAAGAAUUAUAAAUUUCUUCCUUUAAGAAAUUAUGAAUUAUAAUUUGCAUCUUUAAGGUGAUUUAUCUUUGGAGUAUAGGUGUAGUCUUAAUUCUUUCCGGCUUCCCAUUCAGCAACAAACUCUUGCCAAUAAUAUCUUAUUGCAUGGGAAAAAAAAUCUUUCGACAUCCAAAUAGGCCGUUAAUACAAUUUGAUCGUACACUUUUGUUAUUAGAAAAAUAAUUUAAUGAUGCUGCCUCCAAAAUCCAAGGUGGAGAGAUCGAAUCAGUGUCGAGUUAAAGAAAUCGAGAGAACUAGCGAACAACAAAGUCGGCUAUGGCUGAGAUUGGAUGAAGAGAUUAGUUUGGAGUUUGAAGCCUGACCUAAAAAUAAAGAAGAGAUAAUACUGGAGGCAAACAAAUUUUGUCUGUCAAAGAUCCUUCCAUACAUAAGUCAGGCAAGAAUUUUCAAAAUAGCAAAAAAUUGAGAAAAUGAUACGCAUAAGUGUGAAUGUACCUUGAAUAUCUCAGAUAUAGAUUUAUGUAGAGUGAGGAUCAAUGUUCGUUAUUAAAUAAGGUGGAUAUGCAUGUUAACUACUUGGUAACUCACAUUGUGGGCUUAAUUCCAUAGAUUGUGCAGUAAUUGCUUCAUGUGCAUGACGAAUUGUAACCAUUCUACAACGUGCCCCAUAAAUGCGUGGGGUCACAAUCAUCUCUUUAAUUAGCUUUAAAUGUCUAAAAUGCAUUUUAAGUUCGAGACAUAUGGCUUAUUAUUGCUUGUCGUCUACGUAAGUUGGCAGCUUUGUUGACUGCUUACGUUGGCACCACAAGUUCGUCGAUACAGGUGUCAAAAUUUCAGUCAAAUGUCAAGGUCAGUAACUCAGUUGACUAUCGAGGUCCAUAAUAGUUACAAUUUGACUAAUCUAUGCCACAACAAAGAGCAUUGAUUGUUGUGAUAUAAUACGUAAACACAUACGAUAUCUAGGAUCUAUCUCAAAUAAAGAUAGAAAAGGAUACAUGUAUGAGUUUUUUGCUUGAUUUAUUUUUAUUUUUUAGUAAAAAUAAUUUCGAUGUUCUAAAUACACGACAAAAUUAUGUGAGAUAUCCAUCAUCUACAAUGCAUGCACAAAAUUCCUACAAAUAAAAUUUACAUCAAAUGAUGAUAAAAUGAAUAACUGUUCAAUAGGAUGAUAACAAUUUCCAUUACAAACAUUUGAUUGAGACAAUCUAAAGUACUUUUUUUUCCAAUAAAAAACUAUCUAACUUACUUCAAAAUAUACAAAAUACAACGAAGAGCUUGGAUUAUCAGCUCGUGUAAAUGCCCCGCUCUUGGAGUGGAAAAGGAAAAAUAAAUAAAAUAAAAACUAACUUUAAUAUCGACAUGAUACAUUUCGUCAACCAUAGCGUAGAAAACACGCUCCACGGCGGCUUACAAAGGCUCCGAUUUCGUACGAGGCGCCGAGCACGCGACCGAGCGACGGUCGGAGUAGGUGGUUACCCAUCGGUAUUUGUACCAUAUCCACCCGUCCGACUACAAACUUUCCGGAAAUAAAUUCCAUUUCUCUACCGUUGAUGGGACCGCAAACAACCACGCUCCAACGUCCAAAUAACGCCGAGCUCCUUCUGAUUCGAAGAUCGCGAUAUCCAACGGACCAAUCGUGCACCGUUACUUUCCCCACAAUACGGAAAACAAGUAACAGCUGUCCAAUUUAAUCUGCUUAAAAUUGUUGCAAUAAUCGUCCUAUCAAUGAUGUAAAGUAUGAUGAAGGAUGAUAUUUUCUUUUGAUUAUAGCGGAUGGCUGAGAUUUAAAUAUUAUUUUUUAAAUCUCAGCCCACAUAUAAAUGUAAAUAAAAAAAAUCAAACGAUAGGAAAUAGUAUAGAAAUGGCAACAGAACUACAUUAGAACAGAACUACACUAGGGCUCGUUUGGUUCGCAGGAAGCAUUUUCCUUCCUAGGAACAUGAUUCCUGGAAAACAAAUUCCUAGGAAGAGAAUGCCUAGGAAAGUACUUUUGGCAUGUUUGGUUGACCAUGGGAGAGUGACAAAUUUCCAAGGUGCUUAUGUUUGGUUGGCCAUCCACUUUCCUAGGAAAGUUAUAUAUAAUUCCUAUUAUGCCCUUAAUAAAAAUUAGGUUUUUAAUGCCUCUUUAAUGCUUCUUUAAUGCUGAAGGGACUUUUUGGAAAAAAGUAAAAAUGGAGUGAUUCCCGCCUCAUGGAAAAGUUGCUUUCCCAUGUUUCUCAUGGGAAAGACUUUCCCAUGAAAUGUGGGAAUCACAUUCCCAUGGGAAUACAACUUUCCCUUCUCUCUCCUUUGAAAACUCCAACCAAAUAAGAGGCAUAUCAUUACUUUUUCGUUGACCACACUUUCCUUCUUUCUUUUUUCGCGAACCAAACGAGCCCUAGAGUAUCGAACAGCAAAUGGGACAAUCCAGUGAGCAGCUUUACUAAUUUUUCGAAAUACACGGACUACCUAUGGAUAUAGGCUCCCAGUAGGUCGCACGGGUGCUCGUCACAAUGCGAUCCCCACCUCGAAUUCAGAAAAAAUUAUUAUUGUUUUUCUGUAAAGUUGAAUUGUUGAGGAAAAUGUCAUGCCAUCAGCAACAAAGACCGCUACGGAUGAUGCGGAAAGGGGAGGCGUUCGAAACCGUUAGGUAUAAACGGACGUUAUUUUAGACGUUGGCCCCUUCCAGGUAGGGGUUAAAACGGAAAUACGAACGACUGCCCGGGCUCAGCUGCUGAUCGGUCGUGCAAAAAAGCGAGAGGCCCGAGGCCAGCACGCUUGUAUUUCCCUGUCCCUCUCUCUCUCCUUCUCUUCUUCUUAUUAUUAUUUUUACCUUGCCUCCUCCCAUCUCUCGGUCUUCUCUUCCUCCCCUGGUCUCUUUCUUGUCGGGCGAAUAACCCCUCCACGGCCGAGACCCUCGCCGCUAGGCUCCCCAUCCAGGGUUCCUGCCUCCCGAAUUCCCGGACACGCCCGCCGGAAACCGGGACCUUGGACCCCGAGCCCGACGGAGCUGGUUUCCCCACCCUCCCUCCGACCUGCUCCUCUCUCCUCUUCGGCCGCCGCUCUCGCCGGCCGAGGAGUUGCCGCUCGAAUCGAUCCGCUCUUCUCGGUGUCCGAGCCUUCGCCGGCCAUGCGGCGGUCAUCGGUGGUGGCCGGAGGGUGAGUGACCGCGGCGGAGCCGCCGGAGGACGGACGAUGAAGGGGACCGUGAGCGCCGCCCCAGCGGCGAAUCCUUGCGACGGUGAGUAAGCUCCCACUGUUUUCUUUUUUCUUGGCGGUGGAAUCUGGUACUGACACGCGUGACGGGAAGUGGUGGGUGGCGCAGGGGAGAGGAAGACGAUAAACCCGGAGCUAUGGUACGCGUGCGCGGGGCCGCUGGUGACGCUGCCGCCGGUGGGGAGCCUCGUCGUCUACUUCGCCCAGGGCCACAGCGAGCAGGUAUAUCUUAUACCCGUCUUUCCUAUUCUGCACCCGACUUUUCUUCCUUCCUCUUUUCCUGCGAAAGAUAUCCGGGAAAUUUCUUGCUUCAAGAAACUAGUCAAUGACGCACUUCUUGCUUGUUCUUUUCUCUCCUAUCUUAUUUACCCCUUUUUGCUUCUUCCGAAAUAAACUAUAUGCUGCUUUCUUUCUUUCUUUCUUUCUUUCUUUCUUCUUUUUCCUCCCUAAUCAUAUGCUUUUAUUCAGUUUUCUUGAAAAUAAUUGUUUCUUUCUUCUUUUUCCUCCCUAAUCAUAUGCUUUUAUUCAGUUUUCUUGAAAAUAAUUCUUUCUUUCUUCUUUUUCCUCCCUAAUCAUAUGCUUUUAUUCAGUUUUCUUGACAAUAAUUCUUUCUUUUUUCUUUUUCGUCCCUAAUCAUAUGCUUUUAUUCAGUUUUCUUGAAAUUUAUCUCAUGAUUUUUCUCCCCCAGAUUCCUUCUCGGCAUUUUUCUGGGUUCAAGAGGGCGAAAUUUGAUGAGCACUUCUGCGGAAUCUGAGAUAAAACCAACCGAAUAUCGUUAGUUUUAGUAUGUCCGCGAUUAUGAGCUGAAAAAGAGAUUGGAGUUGUAUCUAUAACUAAAAUGCAGUUGGGGUACUUGGAAUUUGUUGAUUGAGCGAUUGAUUUUGAGAAAUUUGGCAUUAAAUAAAAUCCCUUGUUCUUUCUUGGUAGGAAUCACUUUCCAUCCGUUGUUGGAUAUUCAUAUUUGCGCGCUUAAUAAAGUCCCUUUCCUUUUCGGUAGAUCUACCAGGCUUUACAAAAGAUUUUUCCCCACAAUCAUUCUUCUUAUUGUGCUUUUUACCCCCUUCAUUUUUUCCCUCCCUUUACUUGUUUUCUUUACGUGUGUAUAGUCGAGAACAAGCAACAUGGAUUGCUGCGCAUCCUUGUAUCUUCCAUCUGAAUAAACUUGGAAUUAUCUUAUGCUGGCUAAUAAUCUGAUGAUGGGUAGUACCUGCAAUUAGACAAAAAUAGAAUCUUGCAAGUUUUUUUCAAAAAUUUUUUUUUUUCUAGUGACUGGUUUUCCCAAGAUGGCCCAAGAAGCCAGACAGUGAUGCCUGGACAUCAUGCAAAAACAGGAUUGGAUAACUACCGUAGCCCUGUUUUAGGGUGUCGGAUGUGCCAUCCAUGCAUGCAUCGGAAAAUACCAUGCAGAAUGCGGUAGGCAGCCUGUUCAUUUAUAUAUGAUGGCCUCCUGGUUGAGCUUUACAAACUUGCAAAAUGCAGCAUGAUUUCUUUCUAAUUAAUUUUGGAUAUCCAUCUCCUCAAUCAAAUCAUGAAUAAAAAUCGAAAUAUUUCCAUUUAUUUUCAGUUUCAGCAUUUGUAAUUUGUUUUGUUUCUCUCCUCUAGACUUUCCUUGAUACCCCAACAUAAUUGACAAACCUAGACAAAAUAUGAAUCUGGAUGUAAGCAGAAACAUGAUGAUACUACACUUGCCUAAUUUGGUGUGCUGUUCUCCUCAUUCUGGAUUUGAUUUGAUAUAAUUUGUUUUUUAGUAUAUCAAAAUUAUGCUGGCUUACUUCUCUGUUUACUUUUUUAAUUUGGGUUUAUGACAUGUCCUAAAUGCCUUAUGACAAAUGGGAUCGAUAUAUUUAAUAUCGACGCUCUUUUGAUUUUGGUCCUUUUUUUUGUCAGUCAGAGGAUUUUGGCUUGUUGAGAAUUUGAAGUUGUAUAGUUCUGGUUAUAUUAAUGCAAAAUAACGUUAUCAGAUUAGGAUGGAUGGGGAGGAUGUUUAGUAUAACUUAAAUCAGAUGCUCUGACUGAUAUUGUGGAAAAGAAAAUCCAUAUAGACUCGAAUCAAAAAGUUUACCAUUCAAAAUCCACCUCGUAGUCAUCCAUAGCUGUGUAGAUCAUUGAAUUGCUUUACUAUUUUUUUGAUGCAUCUGGCUGUGUUGUAAGUUUUUGCUUGAUAGAAAAAAAUAAUGGUAUAUGUUAAUAUAUUAUUACAUCACACCUUGCAGAACCUUGGAGCCAACUGGAUGUUUUUUUUUAUUAUUAUUAAAAACCAUACCUAUGAUUGCCAUUUUUCUUCGACAAUUUAUUAGUGUCAAAAACUGCUAAUAAAAUAUAAAUGAUUAGAUAUAUUGCUUAGACCGACAUGUUUGCAUUUUCAGGUUGCGGCUUCUAUGCAGAAGGAUAUUGAUGCUCACAUUCCGAACUAUCCAAAUCUUCCAUCAAAAUUGAUAUGCCUUCUUCACAAUGUUACUCUGCAUGUAUGUUACUUAUUUGCUAUAUUUCUUUUAGUUAAGAUGCAUAACAUCUUCCAUUUUCCAUUCGCCUUUGACAUGAUCUUCUGCAUGUUUGUGCAAAUCUCUAGGCGGAUCCAGAGACAGAUGAAGUAUAUGCUCAAAUGACACUCCAGCCGGUCAGCACAGUAAGUUCGUCCCUCCACAUUUUGUUGCUUCUGUCAUGCUUUCGAGGGUAAAAAGACAAAAAAAUUCUAUGGAACUUUUGCCUCUAAAGGAAAGGAGAAAGAGGUCUAACUAAUGAUCUAGUGAUUCAACAGCAAGAUGCUGUGCACCUCAACGGCCUGGUAUCCUUGAUUACAUUGUGUUUCUAUCAACAUUGUACUAAUUACUGUUUAAACUCUGCCAAGUAUUGUGUAACCUUCUAGUCAAGUUUUCUUAUUUUUUAAUUAUUUAUUUAUUUCUGCCAGUAUGACAAGGACGCAUUACAGGCCUCAGAACUUGCACUAAAACAGACUAGAAUGCAGACAGAAUUCUUCUGUAAAACAUUGACUGCAAGUGAUACAAGCACUCAUGGAGGUUUUUCUGUGCCCCGUCGUGCAGCAGAAAAGAUCUUUCCUCCUCUUGUAAGUUAAUUUGAUAGUCAAACAUAUAACAUGUAAAUGACAUUAGCUUCCUGGUGCUUUUUGAACUAUCCUUUUAUCUGCAUUAUCUUUUUUGUACUGCGUAGGACUUUUCAAUGCAACCACCUGCCCAGGAACUGCAGGCACGGGACUUGCAUGAUAAUGUAUGGACCUUCCGCCAUAUCUAUCGAGGUAUUAGCCAUUAAGUCCCAAGCAAAGUUUAGCUCAGAUUUAUGUUCACAUUACAACUAUGCUUGUAAGGUUUAUAUCUAAAUAAUCUGAUCCAUAUUGAAUCUUACAAUUUUUAAGGUGAACUUACCAAAUUCUUGUUAUACUCGAUCCUCACUUGAUAAAAUUGCAUAUUUAUUUGUUUUAGCGGCAUGCAAUCUAAACGCUCAUCAUAGAUUAUGACUUGCUGUGUAUGUGCUUAUUGACUCAUGCAUGCUUUACUUUUGUGCAUAAACAUCUUAUUUCUACUUUACAUUCCGUAAAGACAAAUUUGUCAUCUUCUGCUUGACACCAGGUCAGCCUAAAAGACACUUACUGACAACUGGUUGGAGCUUAUUUGUGAGUGGAAAGAGGCUUUUUGCUGGCGACUCUGUUUUGUUUAUUAGGUAAUUUCACCAAACAUUGUCCUUUUUGUUUAUUUGUAAAGGAUGAUCUAGCUUUAUGCAGUCAAGUUGGUAAACUUUUUAGUCCAAAAAAUGGAAAUCCAUGUUCUCUCUCUCUCUCCCCCUCUCUCUCCCUCUCUAAUUGUACAUAAUCCCCUUUUCCCCUGCUUGUUUCUUAUUAUUCUUUUGACAAUUUGAAUGCUACGUAUAUUAUGCCACAUUGAGUAAUUCAGAGAAAGCUGGGUGGUUAUGAUUAGGGUAUGUAUGUCAUAUGAGCAGAUUAUUCCAAUAGGUACAAAUUAUGGAAGUUGGUGAGGUUUUAAAUCCGAAAUGAAACUUGGUGGUUGUUUCUUUCUUUGCACCAACUCAAAUAUAAACUUAAUCCCCCUUUCCUCUUCUUGUUCUGUUUAUUCCCUAUUUUUGUUAUGUAUAUUAUGCCAAGCACAAAUAAUUUGGACAAAGCUGGACACUUGGCUUCACUAUGUAUAUUUGAUGAGCAGUUUUAUUCCAGUAGAAGUAGAUUUUGGGCAGCAAAGUCAUGUAUUUUUCUCCACCCUAUCUGUGUUCAGGGAUGAAAAACAGCAGCUUCUCUUGGGCAUUAGACGUGCUAACAGGCAACCUACUAACAUUUCAUCAUCGGUCCUGUCAAGCGAUAGCAUGCAUAUUGGGAUUCUUGCUGCUGCAGCUCACGCCGCUGCAAACAACAGCCCCUUUACUGUAUUUUACAACCCAAGGUUUGUGGUUUCCAUUUCUUUUAUAUAUUUGCCAAUUGGAGCAAAUAGGCAAUCAUUUAUCUUUCUGUAAGCUGUAUUUCUUGCAUGUGUUGAUGGCUUAAAGUAGCCUGUUUCUGCAGGGCUAGUCCUUCAGAAUUUGUUGUUCCUUUUGCCAAGUACCAGAAAGCAGUGUAUAAUAACCAAAUAUCCCUAGGCAUGCGCUUUCGAAUGUUGUUUGAAACCGAAGAAUCAGGAACAAGAAGGUUAGCUCAUACUGGUUUCUGCUCAUACCAUAUUUUCUAAAUAAUCAUGAUGACUGCGAGAGAGACAAAAAUGAACCAUCUAAAGUCAAUACGAGUACCAGGUUUAAGCUCUAACUAAAACAUCAUUUUUUUCUGGUUUCCUAGUAAACCAAACUUGCUAACAAAUUGAAAACUAAGUGUUGCAUUUAGCUUUACCUUGAUAUGUCACACAACACAGACCUCUAAGAUAUUUGGUCAAGUUGAAAAAUGAUGGAGACUAAUUUAGUCUUAUAUCUGCAGGUAUAUGGGUACAAUCACUGGUAUUAGUGAUUUAGAUCCUGUGAGGUGGAAGAACUCACAGUGGUGCAAUUUACAGGUAAUUAUUUGCAUUAUUAGACUUUUAAUGUAGUACUAUUUUGCAUACUAAUAAUUUUACUAACCGUUUCUUUAAUGUAUUGCCAUUUAAUACAGUUUGAUGUUGCUUAACAGGUAGGGUGGGACGAAUCUGCAGCUGGUGAGAGGCGCAAUAGGGUCUCCAUCUGGGAGAUUGAACCUGUGUUAGCUCCUUUCUUCAUCUGCCCGCCACCAUUUUUCAGACCAAAACGUCCUAGGCAACCAGGAAUCCCAGGUACAUGUUGAAUGAUGAGAUAUAUGAUGAUGGCAAGUCUUAGCAGUACUCAAUUUAGAUCAUGGCAGAAACACAUGUGAUUCAAACAUUAUCAAGCUUCUUGCCAGAUAGUGUACAAAACAAACCUCAUAGCAGCCACCUUAACUGGCACUUUUAAAUAUGCAACUAGGCUUAUGGCAUCAGUAUUUUUUUUUUUUUAAAAAAAGAAAGAGACGCAUAGCCUAAGAAAACUCAAAUUUCAUGGUUCUUCUGCUUGCUUGUAAAGAGUAAGGUAUGGUUGAGGUGCAGAGCCCAUGGUUCUAGUUUCUGAACAAGACUUCAUGAUCAAUUGGCAAGUUCUGAUUAUUGAAGUAGGGUUUCUGAGUAGUAAAUGAACUAUCUGGCGCAAAGUAUGCUGUAUCGGGCCGAACCGAGCGGUACAGAGCAUACCGUACCAUACCCGUUUGGUACCAGUAUCCGGUAUGAGUGGCGUACCGAUAUUCAAUAUACCAAAAAAAUCCAUACCAUACCGUACUGAUAUUGUGCUAGUGUGGCACUGGUACGAAGUCUGAUAUCGAAACAACGAACCUUGAUAUGGUGCUUUUACUUUGACUAGACUAGAUUUCUGACUAACGUGAUCACUCCUGCAGAUGAUGAAUCAUCAGAUAUGGAAAAUCUUUUUAAGAGGGCAAUGCCGUGGCUUAGCGAGGAGAUCUGCAGAAAGGACUCUCAAACUCAGAACACUGUAAUGCCUGGACUGAGCUUAGUUCAGUGGAUGAGCAUGCAGCAGAAUGCGCCACCUGCUAAUUCAAAUAUGCAGACUGAUUACCUGCGGUCCUUAACUGCACCUGCUAUACAAAACGCUGGAGCAACUGAUCUCUCAAGGCAGUUGGGUAUGCAGGCCCCGUUUUUGCAGCAGAAUAACAUUCAAUUCAAUGCUGCUAGGCUGCCUCAGCAAAACCAACAACUUGAUCAAUUUUCAAAGGUGUCUGUCCCACUAAACCAAUUAGGCGUUGUUACUAGACCUCAACAACAAAUGCAAGAUGUUGGUACGCAGCAAAGGCAACAACUAGUUAACCAAUCGUUACCCUUGAACCAAACCCAGUCCAAUAUCAUACAACCUCAAGUACUGGUCCAGGCUCAAGUCCAGCAGCAACAGCCUGUGAUCCAGAGCCAUCAGCCAUUGCAAACAAGUAUGCAACAAAACCAGCCACAACAUCAGCAGUUAUUCCUGCAGCAGCAGCAGCAGCAUCAACAACAACAUCAACAACAACAUCAGCAACAGCUACAGCAGCAGCACCAGUUUCAGCAGCAGCAAAAUAGGAUGCCUGUUCAGCUUCCCAACCAUAUAAAUCAACAACUACAGUUAACAGACCAUCAGAUUCAGUUGCAGCUGUUACAGAAGCCCCAGCAGCAGCAGCAGACAUUAUCACAGCCCACAGCGCAACAUCCUGAACUGCCACAAAUCCAAGAGCAGCAGAAACCACAUUCAGAAGGACCACAUCAAUUAGCUAACUCACAUUCACUCACGCAGCAAAACAUGCUCUCUCAACAAUGCGCAAAAACUACUUCACAAGCUGUGCGGCUGUCACAACCCUUGCCUCAACAGUCCCAGCAAAAGUUUCAUCAGCAGCAAGUUGUACUUUCUGAGUUGAAUGGUGCAGUGCUUCCUCCAACACCAAAGACCAAUCUCCUCCCAACAACUGGCAGCUCUUUGUUGGCAGCUGGAGGAGCACAGUCAGGGCUUACAGAAGACGUCCCAUCUUGCUCCACUUCACCUUCCACGAAUAAUGGUGUUGUUUUUCCUCAGUUGAUCUUAAAUAGGAGCCACCACCCCAGCACAAUGACAACGGAUAAGACAUCUCAGUCAGCUGUGACAAUUUUGAGUCAUAACUCCUUUGAAGCUGCAGCAGCAACCCCCAAUAUAGCCACAGAGUUGCCCAAACCUAUAAACAAUGUGAAGGCCUCAACUCCAAUUUCCAAGGUGCAAACUCAGGGAGUCAUUGCCCCUCAAACAUUUAUAAGCAAUGCAGCACAGAUGGAUUAUUUGGACACAACCUCUUCAGGAACUUCAGUAUGCAUUUCUCAGACUGAUGGGCCUUUACAACAAAGCUUCCCACUUUCUUCUCUCAAUCAGCCAUCCAUGUUCGGAGAUGCGCCUCCAGACAGUGAGGUCCAGGGCACAGAUCCAAGAAAUAAUGUCCUUUUUGGAGUUAACAUAGAUGGCCCAUUAGGCAUACCUCUAACUACUGAUGCCUUGCUGGCAAACAGCAUUAAUUCAGGAAAGUACCAGAAUCUUAUCUCAGGAAAUGUGAUUACUAAUCCCAGCACCUCAAAAGAUACUCAACAGGAGUUGUCAUCAUCUAUGGUCUCGCAGUCAUUUGGGGUUCCAAACGUGGCAUUCAAUUCUAUUGAUUCCACGGUCAAUGAGGGCAGCUUCUUGAACAGAAGUUCUUGGGCACCCGCACCACCACUUCAGCGAAUGAGGACUUACACCAAGGUUUGUGGUUUCAACUUUACAAUGUUUAGAAAUUUAAUUCUUAAAAAAACAUCGCUUCUCUGAGCUUGAUUAUGUGGCACUAGGAUCCACAAAGCAGAUUUGGAGAACUAGUUUAACAAAUAGUAUGGAUGUUUAAAAUUAUCAUAUUCAUAAUUUGAUCAAACUCAAAACCUAAAUGAGUUAAUGGUCAGUCUUACUAUAAGGCAUGCACGAUAUGGCUGCACGAGAUAAGACUAGUACAAUAAAUGGUGGGGCCAAUAUGCUGCUUGUAGCAUAUGCUAAGAAUUGGGUGGUGGAUUCAUAUGUUCUAGAUGCAACUCCAUACAGAAAUAUAUGAUAUAGAACUCAAAAGUUGGCCUAUAUAUUGACACCAAAAGUAUUCGUGUAAAGGAAGAAUUUGCUGUACAUGGUGUUUAAAAUGUAGAACUAGAGCAUUUCCAAGAAGAAUUAAAAGUUGGAAAACUAGAGCGUAUCUGCAAGAUUAUGGGUUCUGAUAUGAUUAUUAUCAUUAAUUUGGUGAAAUAUUGUAAAUAAGCACGAACAAUCUUCCCUUUUAGGCAUAUAUCCCAUUUUAACACGAGCUGAUUUACUAAGCAGGUUGGCAUUGUUGGGAUUAUAUGUCACAUGCUUAGUUAUACUAAUUACUAAUUUGCUGCUGAAAUAUUUCUGCCUUACCUUUGAAUAGUUGUAUUCCAUUUGUUCUUUUUCUUUUUUCUUUACCAGCCUAACAUAAGAUAUCUGUGUGUAGGUCCACAAGCGUGGUGCUGUAGGCAGAUCAAUAGAUAUUGCCCGUUAUUCAGGCUAUGAUGAGCUGAAACAUGAUCUUGCUCGAAUGUUCAGUAUAGAGGGGCAGCUUGAGGAUCGGCAAAGAAUUGGGUGGAAGCUAGUUUAUGUCGAUCAUGAGAGCGAUGUUUUACUUGUGGGAGAUGAUCCAUGGGAGUAAGUUUAAACAUCUUUAGCUUGUUAAAGUUUUUUCAUUUACUUCCUGAAAAUAAUGCCAACGCACGCUACAAUUUCUUAGGCAAUGAACUAUGGGAACCAAGUGCCAUCAUUGGUCUAGGAAAAACUUUUUAUGGUAAACUAGAAGAAAUGAGAUUCAAAACUGUAGUCAUCUAAAAUGUGAUGUAUGAUUGAGCAUCAAGGAUUCUUGCUUGGACGCAAGCAGAAAAGAUGUCAUGUUGAAUAGUACCAGGCAACUUCAAAAGAUCAACAAAUGGUUCGCUUGAUUAACAAUCCAAUCAUGCACGGAAAAAACGGAGUGAGUACAGUCAAUAGGAAGGUGUCUGGGCAUGGCAAAUAGGCCAAGGAGUGGUUUGGGAGGAGAAAUACAGGUAAAAUUGGAAACAGCAGUCAAAACCAUACAAUUUGAAAUUACACAAAUAGGUGUUACUGUUUUCUAGUUUUAUCACCUCCCACCUGUCAGUCUACUGGGGCAAAUGAAAACCAUAAUUUUCUUUAACAUGGGAAAACCAGUUUGUUUUAGACUUAAAGCACAAUCAUCUGAUGCUUGCUUUUUAAUGUAUACAGGGAGUUUGUGAAUUGUGUGCGGUACAUCAGGAUUUUGUCCCCGCAAGAAGUCCAACAGAUGAGCUUGGAUGGUGAUCUGGGGAACAACAUCCUUCCGAAUCAAGCCUGCAGCAGUUCAGAUGGUGGAAAUGCAUGGAGGGGUCAGUGUGACCGAAACUCCGGCAACCCUUCAGCUGGAUCGUACGACCAUCUGGAAUGAUCCAGAUUGUGUCUGAUGGUCAUGCAAUACAUUAAACUUAGGCUCGUAGCGGCCGGGGAGACGCCUUUUUGCCUCCCAGCCAUGUUUGUGACCAUCGUUGAUUCGGAAAGACAAUGCGAGGUUCAGGGUCUUGACCUCCAGAACGCCCUGCCGAUAUUGCGAGCGGUCUCGAGGGCAAGAGCAACUGCGGAAGGAUGCAUGAGCAAGAGUGAUUCUGAUGACGAGCAAUCCUAAUUGUCCAUUUACUUGUAAGUAGUGGGCUGGUUUCAGAAGUGCAAUCUUUUUGUUUAGUUGAUUUCUGUUUGACCUUUCUGGAUGCAAAAGCUUCAAGAUUUUUCUUAUGUGUAUAUAUGUAGUUUCUCACUAAACAAGAUGUGCUGAUUUGGUGAUUUUGGGUAUCGAAAAUUAAGUGGGAACAUAUAGAUAUCUAUGUUUAUUGUUUAUGCAAACCAUUGGCUACUCUUAUUGUUUUAAGAAUAUCGAUAAAGGCAGCGAUCUCGUCAUAAACUGAGAAUUCUGUAACUUAGUCCCAGGUCACUUCGGGAUCUUUAGACACAUGCUUGUGAAGAGUAUGUACAAGACGUUGGCUCUGGGCUGUUAAAAGUAUCAUCACAUUUAACAUCUAUACCGUGAGAAUUGCUCCGUGCAUUGAUAUCUCACUUUUCCCCCGUUAAACUCGAUCGACUACAUGAAAAGAAGAAACAACCCUCUUUGAACUCCGUCUAUAACAUGGCAACCCAAAAAAAAAAUCUUGACUCUUGAAGUUGCCUAAUAGCAGAUAAGCUGCAUGACAUAAUAAUGAUGCAUCGGUAACAUAAUUUUCAAUUAAAAAACAGAUUAAGACUGAAAUAACUUAGCAGAUUAGUAAGGAUGAAGCGGUUGUCUUCUUCAAACUUAUCGGUUAUUCCAUAAAAAGAAUAGAAUUGAUACCAAAAUACUUCUGAACGCAAAUAAUAAUUUAUCUCAUCCCUGCUGAAAAUAAGAUUCAUAUGUGGCCACCCUUGUCUUUGAUUCAGGUUGUUCCAGCUCCUCCAUAAAACCCAUUGUCAUUGCAAGAAAAUCCUUCAUGUGCAAUCGCUUCCAUUCCUUGGCAACACGGUAGGACCAUAUAAAAGUUAGAAGAUCCAAGGAUACGAGUGAUAAUGAAGCAGGAGCACAAAAGUUAUUAGAUCAAAAAACUGACAUGGGACACGCACAAAUCUAAAUUCAUGCCAAAAAAAAAUGCCUCUCAUAAAACCAAGCUUUUUAACAUUCACCAGACAACACUUAUCAGGAUGCAAUAUAUAUUCCUGACAAAGCAAGAUCACUUCCCCUGAAUGUGCAUGCACUCUGAUGAACUAGUAAAAUAAGUGCCAAAAAAAACUUCAACAUCAUACAUAAACCUUUUCUGUUUUGUAUCAUCGAGCAUUGACCAACUAAUGCUGACUCCAGCCCAUGGGUCAGUCAAGUCUUUGGGCUUAACCAGCCAACCUGGCACAUUUACCCCCAUUUGUAUAAAAAAAGGUAGUUACGAUCCUAAUUAUUUUAUAAAAAAUCCAAUUUACGGACCACCUGCGCGAACAUGCUGUACAAACUUUUUAUAUAUAGCACAAAACUGGUCUGGCACCAAAAGAUGAAGGAAUACAACAAGCUUUUUUUUUUGGCUAAACAGCUUCCGGCUGCUACAAAGCAUUAUUAAAAGCUAAAUAUCAACAUAUAAUAACUUAUAAAAAAAUAUAACAAUAUGAUAAUAUAAGGAAUGGACUACAUUGGUCUCGAGAAGAAAGGGUACUACCACUCUCGGAUUCAAAAUCAAUUAUCAAGCACUCAAAUCGAAGAUCCACAAUGUUGAUCUUCACCUAUACCACUAAAAAUAUAUAUAAACCAAAAAUCAUAUAUUUUGAUGGUCUCUAAACUAUCCACAUAUAUUAAAACAUAUAUAGAUUGAAAAUAAACAGAUUUUAAUACUUAAAUCACAGCAAAAUAUAGUCUUAUAUCAUUUUAACCUCUCUUUUUUUUGGAUACAACCAUCUAUUUUAUUUUAACCAUCCAUUUUUGUGUCUACUUGAAACAUAGGAUAAAAUCGCUAAAAUAUGUAAUUUUUAAAGGUGUACGAUAUAGAUCUUUGAUUUGGGUGCCUGGCUACUGAUUUUCAACUUGUAGACUAGAUACCUCUCUCGAGAGAAAGAUAAUCUAUCUCAUAAUAUAAUAAUAUAGUAAUUUAUAAUAGUAUAAUAAUAGUAUAAUAAUAUUAUAUAACAUGUUCUUGUAUCGACAAGAGUAGACCACUGACUGGCACCAGUGAGAGCUCAGCCUGAAGGAUUUUCUUUAAGGCAAAAAAAAGGGCAAUAAUGAGUAAUGUAACAGAUCAUGUUUACAAAAGGUUCUCUCUUAACCUGCCCACCCACCCACUCCAGCCCUCCCCUCCCCACCCUCCCUAGCAGGCCCCAAGAAUUAAAAAAAGAAAAAGAAAAAAGAGAGCUAUAUCUCAAGAUAGCUUCCUGAAACAUAGUCAUUCUCGUUUUAAAGGAUGGAUAAGUUUCAAUGGACAACAAGUUUUGGUUUAAAUUUAAUAUAUUAUAAAAUGUUGCUGAGCAGAAGGAAAAUAUAUGGAAUCAGAAUACACAGGAAAUUAGAAGAAAUCAGCAAUACUGUCCUUAUGUCCAAUUGUGAGAGACAUCCAUGUUUGUCAUUAAGGUUAGAGAGGGGACAUAAGAGAAGUAAGAACACACUACACAUUCACGUCUAUAUGUUGUAUGCGUGCAUACUAAGACACUUUGAUAAAUUUAUUUUGUUUGCAUUCAUCUGCAUCUGCAAGACAAACGUAGCUUCAACUAUAUAAAGUAAACAGAUGGAGAGGAGCGCUUACCUCAAAAUCCCAGUCACCAUGCAAGUUAGGGUCAUCGUUGUCACCCCAAACAUAUGUAUCAGCAAGUAAUUUCUCUGCUGUAUCCUGCAAUACAAAAUCAUCUCUUCUAGAAAUUAAAAAGCACAAGGCUGUAGAAAGAAAUAGCUUCUGCCGAAAGUAGUUAUUUUUUUUUUUCAAAUGAACACAGCCAUCAUCUCUCUCAGAGUAAAACAUGUCCUAGAAGAAAAAUGCUAGUCAUCAAAUUUCCUCUAAAAGAAAGAUUUGGCAUAUAUUAUGAAGAUGACAAGACUAAGAAUUUUGAAAAAAAAAAAGAGUUAUAAUAUUAAGAAGAAUAUGAUUAGAAGUGCCACAAGAAAGACUUGGCAUAUAUUAUGAAGAUGACAGAAUACGAAUUUUGACAAAAAGAAGUGUGUCACAGUACUAAGAAGGAUAUGAUCAGAAGUGCAAGCAUUAGAGGAGAUGCAGAAGUAGUACAACUGACACCAAAGAUGGAAAUUGACCAGAAUGGUCUGAUUGCAUGAUCAUUUGUGAGAGAGAUCUAAAACCACCAUAACAAGGAUACGUAUUAAACUUUGUGCCAAAGGACCAGAAAAAGGGAAGAUUUGAUCAACAAUGAAGUUUGUGAGGAAGGCUUGGAGUUACAUUGGAGGUAGCAUUAAUAAGAGUUAAUUGGUAAUAGAUCAACCCCAUGUAGUUGAAACAAAUGUUGAUGGUUAUGGUUGUGUUUGUGUGGCAUGUGCCUGCAGGUACAUGUGCAUCAGUCUGCACCUGCUGCAUAUGUACAGAAAGAUACCCGUAUAAGCAAGAUAAACACUGAAUAUAUUGAUACAACUAACAGUGAAGCUAAAUCAGCAAACAUGCUUAUCUCAUUACCAGAUCAUAAUAAAUAUUUCUUUCUCCAAUCUGAAAGAGCCCAUCAGACUUCAUAUUGGAACUACAUAUAGGAUAAGCAUACUUCCUUUUCCAAUUAUCUAAGUUUGUUUGUUGUGUUGAUGACACAUUGACGCCAAGGGUAAGCUUGUAUAUAAAAAGCUCUAUUUCCACAUUGUCUAAAUUCUAAAUUAUACUUUUUUAUAUUAUGCAAACCAACUUACAGCCAGUGAGACUUCAACAGCUCUUCUCUCAUACUCCACAUCUUCAAAUGUAUCUAGGACAUCUAACUCGCGAUCUGUAAUUCCUAGAAGAACCUGUAAGCAAGAAAUUCAUUAGACCAUAAUCAAAUAUCAGGGGAGAGCUAGAAAAUUAUGCAUCUCAUUGUGCUUGUAAGUUGAUGAGUAGAAACUAAUUUCCAUGGGGCAGAAAGAGUGAAACAUAAAAAAAAAAAAAAAUCUUAUUUUUUCUAAUAUUGCAUGAUUCUAGGUUUUCAUCACAUUUUUAACCCCAAACAUCAAGCAAAGUAGAAGAAAUAAGAACCUCUUUAACUCACAACCUUGUUCAUCAGGUGGAGUGCAACCAGGCCAACAGACAAAGUAAAUUAGAUGAUCAACCAUCGAGUAAAUAGUGAAAAAUGGUAAAAUUAUAGCAGAAGUUUUUUAGAUAGUUUGUGAUUUGCUGUAAAAUAAGCAUCUUCCAACUUCUGCGGAAUUGAACUUCCACUUGACACUCUUUUUAGGUGUCAUUUCUCAUGACAUUAACCAAAUCAUUAUCAUUUGGAGCCCAAUAAUUCUGUCUAAGAAUACGUUCCAGGAGAAUCAGACUUUUAAAACUCUUAUGUGGUGGUGGUAUUCAGAUUUCAAACACAGUCUGGCAUUAAAUGAGAAUAUCAGUCAUAAUUUUCAGUAAAUGACUUAACAUUCUAAUUUCUAAAAGUUCCUAUAAACGAUCCACCAUAUAGGUAAUUCUCUUGAAUCAUCUUGAAUCAUCUGAAAAAUUAAGUUUUGAAUCAUCUUGUAAUUUGGCUUAUCGUAUACAUACAUACGUAUACACUUAUAUAUGCAUGUAAAAAUAUCCACAUCUGUAUUUCCUUCAUGUAGCACAGAUUAAUCCAGAUUAGGCAUUCCAUGAGUAAUAUUAGGCAGUAGGCUCACAUUAUAAAGAGUAAGCUAAAACUAUGCACUUCUGUAAGCUAUAUCCCUGAUGACAUAGAUAGUAAACGAGGUCAUGCCUGCCCAAAGGGGUUUACCUCGCAAAUCAGAGUUUCCAAGGGUAAUAUUUCUCAAAUUCUCAAUUUAAGUUCACGAAGUGGUCCCAUGCAAUGACACUGCCUGACUCCUUCUAAAAACCAAACCCCAAUGAUAUAGAUUGGUUACAAUAGAAGCACCAGCUGCUUUAAACAUCCAUAGGGAUUCAAAACGUAGGGCUGUGUGCAUCCUAGUAAAUGAAAGUAUGAAACAAGACAUGUGUCUCAGAUCUUGACAGUGGAAUCAGAAUUAAAAAUGUGCACACACCCUGUAUGAAAGAUAAAACAGGGAACGUCAUUUGAAAUCUACAGUCAAAAUGUGAUCCUACAUGUACCAAAUUUCUACUUGCCAGGCCCUGAAAAGCACCUCAUAGACAAGUAUAGCCCUAUCAGGCCUUGGCCGCUAGAACAGCCUGAGCACACAACAUCCUAUGGCCAACUAGUUCUGGAAUCCAGGGGCAUUUCCAACAAAAAAUUUAAAGGGCAUAGAUAUGAAAAAAAAUGAAUGAAGGAAAUCAUAAUGUGAUUGGUGCAUACACACUCACCCACAAUAACAUGUACACACAUGCAAAAACAUACUACAUGCCCAGACAAGUCAGCCACCACCCCCAGCCACAGAAUUCCAUGAAUGCACACAUGUUUGGUUUACUGUGGAAAGAUACAUACCCAUUCAGAUGCACAGCCACAUGAAACAUGUGCAUAAACAAGCUCAUGCGGCAUAUGCACAAACAUCUGUAUGCACACAAGCUUGAACAUACGUCAGCCCACAUCGGCACAAAAACAGACAGGCACUAAAAUAACAUUAGGCAAACCAUGCCGAAGAAAAGCUACAUACUGAUCCCAUCAUAAUUUGAAGCACAUCUAAAACAUAAAUGAAGGAUCACAAAGUUAAACAAACAUUGACCAAAACAAUUAGCAUGAAAAAUAAAAUUUCUGAGUAAGUGAUGAGAAGAUAAGUUGUAUCUCAAUUAAGAAUCUAUCAAAAUGGAUUAUAAAAAAACACGAAACAUAUCAAACAGUGAAAGUAACAGAACAAAAGCCAUCUUGCAGUGUACAUAUUCAAAGAAUAAAAUCGUUACUUCUAUCUAGAUAGAUAGAUUUAAAAUGGUAGAUAAAGGCAUCUUAUUUCCAACCAAAAAAGCUUGUUUUCUAUAACCUUCUCUAGCAAAAGAAUAUGCAAAGUUACUGUCCUCCUUAGGCAAUGUAUAAAAUAACUUUUCAAUUCACGGUGAAAUUGUUCACCAGGUUUGCAAAAGGCUGCACCUUCUACGACCCAAGCAAUAGCUAAAGGUGUUGUAUGAUUUCCUUUUGACAAAUAAUCCUAUUUUUCACAUGGAACGACAGAGGUAACUUCAAAAUUACAGAAAAAUCAAAGCUUGAGAAAGAAAAUAUGGAACUCAGCUUCCAACAGACAAAGAGAAGUAAGAAUCAAGAGAUGCAUCUCAUAACUAUACAAUGGAAAAUGGAUACAUAAACUUCAAGAGCAAACUACACCGAAGACAAACAAUAUAUAGAAUAGGAGAAAAAGAUAUAUAUAUAAUUUGUGUAUUCUGACUAUGGAAGAAGCAAAGAAACAUCCUUUUUCAGAGACAAAUAAUCCAUCUAGUAUAGAGAUAAGAGACAUCAGAAAUCAUAUCAGGAUUUGAUUUCUAUACCCAACAUCAACAAAUGAAGGAUGAGUACAGGAAAAAAAAGUUCGAUGAUUAAAUUGAUGAUCCAUCUAAUAUGCUUCAUCCAUAAUCGCUCGAAAGGCUGAAAAAUAAACAUCUGCCGGAUAUUAUAUUAAGCAGCAAGAAGACUAAGUUAUGAGGUGAACUUCUGCAAAGCACCAACAGUUAGUUUAACUGAAACAACUAGAUAGGGAAGGCCCUUCUAACCAACCUUUCCUGCAACUUUUUUAUUCUCUACAGGCAGAAUUGCUGGAUAAACACGCCCCUUAAUACUAAACCUGUGGCUGCAAGAAUAAAGCUUAUGUCAACAUUACUGCCACUUCACAGUAAACAUUUGUGUGCAUAUGAGAUUUGAAUUCAUCUUAUCUGAACAAUGAGACUACAUGAUUAAAUUAGAACAGAAGUUGAAUUUGGAUAUGCGUCCUUGGUAUAUCAGGUCAUGGUAUCCAAUGUUUUGGCCCCCAUGCCCCUCUAUUUAUUUAUUUGUCUGGUUCUACAUGCAAAUUAGCAUCCAAUUUCCAAAUAUCAUGCAAAUCCGAGUAAAAGCAACAGGAGAAACAAGAACUUUGUUGGUUCGACCAACGCAUUCGUCACUUUAAAAUCUUGAAAAGGAAAAGAAAAGAAAAACCGUGCAGUCACUUUCUUUCCCUCAAUUGUCUGGGGCAUUGGGCCAGCUGCAGGCAAAUCUGGACUCAAGGGGACAAAGAAAAAGGGUUUUGAUUGAUUGCAUCAUGGUCCCAAACAAAAAAAUCAUGAAGAUCGACGAAUUGAAAAGAAGUGGGAGAACAUGAGUUCUCAAAAUACAAAUCAAGAACAUCAAGAACGUGGAAAUUAAAAAGAAAAAAAAAUCCGAAACCUAGGAUCAGAAUUCAAACCGAGUUCGACAGCAGAAGUUUCUUGAUAUUAAUUCUCGGCCGCAUCGUCAACGUACUCUUCUUCUUUUAAUCUUCUUUACUGAAGGAAAACGAAAACAACAAAUAAAAAAGAAAAGAAAAGUGGGAACUCCUCCUUUCCCUCUCAUUAUUAUUCAAGAAGAAGGGGUUUCCAUCGUGAAUUAUAGGCGGGGGCUUACGAUCGAUUCUAUGACGGCGUCCAUAUGAAAUAGUCUAUGCCAAUCGAAGAAGAGGAGAAAAAAAAAAGAUUAACCUUAAUAAUAAGAAGGAGGAGGAGGAGGAGGAGGAGGAGGUACUGGUGAUGAAGGACGGCAGGAGAGGAGGAGGGCACGCGCUUGAGGAGGACUUGCACCACCUCAUCGGCGAGCAGACUCCCGUACACGAACACGCUGUGGAGAGGAAGAGUGGAGGCGGCCGCAGCAGCUGCAACGGCGGUCACGCUCACACCCUCGCCGCCCAUCUCUCUCUCUCUCUCUCUCGAGAAGACAAUAGGAUAGUCGAGCCGUCACCUUACGCGAGAACUUUUGGAUCAGAACAGGGAAAGCUGGAAUUUGGACCUUAUACCUCGUACGUAGGGCAAAAAAGGUUCCGAUAUAAAUCGGAUAAUAAAAUAUCUAUAUUUAUAUUUAUUUUUAGUUGAGAAACAUUAAUAUUGUUACUACAUAUAUCAAUUGGAUAAUUGAUUUUAUGAUCUACCAAAUCAACGAUGCGAUGUGUUAACACUGCCAUCUAUUUCUUAUGAAGUUUAGGUCUUGACUAAACAAGGUUACAAACAGCAAGAGAUAUUUAAUGAUCUAUUGAUGUUUUUCUUUUAUACGAUAUAGAUAAUGCUGGAAUUUAUAUCCAUAACCAGUUGGAUUCAAAUACAAAAUUGAAUCUAGGUACUAUUGGAUCCAUUUAACACAUGUAAAUGCCCUCGUAAGACAUGACAUUCAGAUCCUUAUCAUUCAGCACAUGUAUAUGCCGAAUAUCACAAGGGAAAAAAAUUAAGGAGUGCUUUUUUUCUUUUAUCAUAUGAAGACUGAAGAGGAAUUUGAUCAUCAGAAGUAAACUUCAAACAUCCACACCAAAUUGAAGAUAAAAUAGGACGACAAAAUGUUUAUUCUAUAGAGGAUGUUCUCUCCAAAAUUUUAUUUAUAUGCCAAAAAUGCUUCAUAGAAGCAUAUGUUCUGGCAUUACAUUCUGGUACAAUAAAAUCAAAUAUUUGCUUUUUAAAAUAUUCGCGCAUGAAUUUGCUGGCUCUUGCAAAGUUUGGUGUGCUCCAAUAAAUCAUAAUACCUAUACCUGCAUUGCAUCACAUGCAUAACUUUAUUGAAUAUAAAGUUUUCACCGUCUUCUAUGGAUAUAUAGUAGCACAUCUUCGUAGAAGUGAAAAAAAAGAGAUACCAGCACUGCAGUUCUAAAACUCCUUUUUAAGAAAAGCACACUCCCCACCACCCCCACCCCAACCCAAAACCAAAACCUAACUACUAACUAACUACACACACNNNNNNNNNNNNNNNNNNNNACACACCUACCCCACCCCCCCCCCCCCCCCUCCCAAAAAAAAAAAAAAAAACCCAUUCCUUUAUAAACUUACAACAGCAACAAUUGUCAAAAUUCCAACAGCAACAAUUUUAGAAGUCGAGAAAGAGCUUCACAACUGUCAAAAUUCCAUCCAAUAUGCCCCCACGCAAGGCACACGUAUUAUGGGAAAAUGGAAAUUCGUUGCAGGCCAAGCUUGACAGCAUAUGCUAAACAUUAGCUUGUUUUAUCACCUGAACCAAGCUUGAGCAAGCUUGUUAUUAAGCCAAUAAUGUGCAUUGCUCGGUAGCAAAUUAGACAUCAAGGUGCUUCGAACACCUUUCACUACUUCAUAGUUCGCUAUGCGGACAUUGCAACUUUAAUUAUAAAGGGAGAAGAGAAGAUGCUGUUGUACCAUGGAAAUAAGAGGCUGAGGCAGUGACAAUAGCUUCACUAAAAUAAAGCCAAUUGUUUUAUCAAGAAAAAAAUAAGGUACAAAAGGGUUGAAUGAUUCAUCCUAGCUCCACCAAACCUCUUGCAUAUCCAGUAACGAGUUACAUAUUUUUCUGUAUGCGGUGCACAAUUACCACUAAUUCCUUAAGAUUAUGAAGCGGUUGCAAGAAGAGUGGAUGAUCUCGAGGGAAGAAAGAAACAAAAAGGGAGAGACAGAGAGGGGAAAAAAUAAUGAAAAGAAUGAACGGAGGAACAGAAACGAAAGGAACAGGGAAGAACCAUGAAUCAGCAAGAUUUCUUAUAACAUAAGUGAAGUCGGCGAUCUCUAAAACUCAAAGCAUCGAGAACCAACAUGCAUGCCUCUAGCACUAACACAAGACAAACUCCCUCCACAAUAAACUCAAGAACAGGCGCUAAACGCAAACGAUCGUUAUUUGAUGUGGAUUAUUGCACACACAUCAAACACAAAUCACAUACAGAAACAGUAGAGGAAGGUGUUUACAGAGAGAAAAGGUAGCUAUCUUUAUAACUGAAAAGCAACUUUAAUUUCUCAUUCAAAGAGACGUAUAUGCUUUUUUUUAAAAUAGAUAAAUGUAAUCAGAGAUUAAUAGAUGUUUAUAAAUAAAUUUAAUAUAAAAUGAAAUAAAAGUAUUAAUUUACGAGGAGAAAUUAAAGGAAUAUGCAACCAGCCUGAUGAACAGGAAUUAAGAAAAAUUAUAAUUGUCUGUUUUACUUAUAUAAUAAAAAAUAUCAUGAUAUAAAUAACACAUUAUUUAUGCUAAUCAUUAUAGGGCAAACGAGUUGUCAAAAGAAUUCGAUUAUAUAAUAAGAGUAAUGACACAAAAGUACCUUGUUGUUCAUACUAAUUAGUGUAAAUUUAGGGAUUUACUUUCAAUAAUCAAAUUAGCAGGGGGUAGUUUAGAUCAAAACCGGAACUGUUUACUUUUAGGAGUACUGCAGAUAAGAACUCAAAGUUUUGAUGAAUAUCUCAUUACAAGAAAAACAGUAAGUUCAUAGCUUCAAAUGAACGUUCUUUUCCUGGCAAUAGCUUUAUACUAUGAUGAAUAAAAUCCAGAAUACUCAUCACACUUGAUCAAAGUAUUUUCCAAGACUUAAUUAGCACUAAGCUCCAAGCACUUGUGCAGUGAAAUAUGAUCAAUAAUUCAGCCAGGGGCAAUCCAGUACCGAACUCCAGAAGUGGGGCACAAAGUCAUUCCAAAGUAAUAGAAGAUGGCAUUCAAUGUGAAAAGGUCAUGCUGGGCAUGAAACCAGUGCUGAAGAUCCAUGUGCUCAUGUGCUCAUUGGCUCAGCACUGCUGGAGGAGAGGAUAUCGAGCAGGGAAUUUUGGGGCUCCAGCUCUUCAUGCCACAAUGGCAGAGAGUCACCAGUAUAGAAGUUCCUCGUAACACCAUCAGCAUUGAUCUGCAAAACCAUCAAUUCUCAGUGAGAUCAUACAACAUUGGAAUGAGGUCUCAAUUGCAAUCUGAUGGGCAUUUCAAAAUUUGCUGAAGAAGGAAAGCAAGCACUGUUUUGAUGGAUGUUGCAGAAUCAAAGAGCUUAUUGCCUUUUUUAGAAUAAGAGAUCAAAUCGAAGAAAGGUGCAUUGCAGAACCACAAGGUCGAUAUUUGAUGGCUCUACUAGAUGUCAUUUGAUAUGACGGUUGACAUCCAUUCAUUUAACUAAUGCAGCCAUAAUCCACAUGAUAGGCCAGUAAGUCCAUGACAAGAAUUUUAAUCAAGUUCACCAAAGUGAACAUAUCAUAACAAAUUGAGCAAACAUCAGGGGAAAGCAAAAUAUACCAUGUGUCAGAAGCCGGGAAACCUAUCAUCCAUGAAAUUUUACAGUCAUGGAGAACAUGGGGUCAUACAGACUACUUGAACAAAGGGUAGAAACCACAAGCAAAAAAUGUAUGCAAUUGAAGUCUGAAUAAAAAAGAACCUCGACACUCAUCAACUGCAUCCAUUUUAACAUAAAAAAUUGAAAGGUAAUGAUGGCAAAUCUUUGUGAAGGUACAGCAUGUAAAUUGUUUAGAAAUGAAAAAUGGAAAAAGAAAAGCUGAUUCCUAUAAGGCAUAAAUUUUGAAUAACAGUUUCCUGGGAAAUCUGCUGAUGACAUGAUCUUGUAUGGUGAAUAUAGUUUAGAUACUCACAGUAACAGUGCGGACAACACCUCCACUCGCUCCAUCGCGUGCAAUGGCGAGAGAGACUGCUUCCACCACUAACUUCUGCAUUGCAUAGGAAAGAUGCCAAAAAAUGUCAGGCAAAUUCCUGGUAUUAAUGGUCUGGAAAAUCUUGUCUGAAUGUCUUUAUGAAUUAAUAUUAGCAUAAGCACAUAAACAAGGCAACAAAGAUAAACAUCUUGGUCUGCUAACGAAUCAAAUAAAAAAAAAGUGUAUCGGGCGAAAUGAUGCCCUCGUCACAAAGGACCUAUAGAUCAAUGUAUAUAUUUAUAAUCACACAGAGCAUGACAACCAGAAUUGAGUCAGACCAGGAUAUCUGCAUCACUUAGUGUCCCAUUGCUAGAAAUAUUAAUGUAAUGUAAGUUCAAUGCAGAACCAUAUAUUUAUCUGCUGACUUCUUUUAGAGAGAGAUCAUCAAAUAAUUAAUCAUUAUGGGAGGAAAUGAAACUUUUUUAUCAGACAUUACUGACUAUUAGCAUUGACCACUUCCUUAUGAAAAAAGAACACUGUUUCACAGUUUCAUGCUAGGAUUGUUUUGCAAUGCAUUUCUAGGAGAAAUGGGAGCUAGAAAUUUCAGAAAUUAUAAAUUUUUUAACAUCCAUGAUAGGAUGAAAAUGACAAAUUUGCAUAUUAUACACCCUUAUACACACACAUAUACACUUAGACUUUCUUUUGGCUAUUAGCAUGUUAUAGCUGUUAGCGUGUUGUAGCCCAGAACAUGGCAUCUUUAUAGUUUCUGUUGUACAACUAGAACCCAGGAAACACAAUAUCAUGGAACCAAUUUAGUUUACAAGAUCUGACCAAAAAAUACAAGUCAGUUUAGAAGAGAAAUUCUGAUGUAAAAAAAAAGAGGCAGGUGAAACAUUAGUCACUUGAUUUCCACUUUACAUACCUCGGCUUCAUCUUUACUCAUGCCUUCCUUCCAUUCUUUAUCAAAGAAUCCAUACAAGUAGCUGGAACCAGAUCCUGUUAGAUGCAAAAUUGUUACCAUUGACAGCCAUUAUAUGAUAAAUUCCAUGCAUUGACCUUCAUCCACUCCAUGCAAGUAAACUUUUUUCUCUUUUCUUCUCUUAAUGAACUUAUUCUCCUAGUAGAAGCAACAACAAGUUUUCUGAAUAUCCUGUGCAAUCAUUUAAUGCAUCAUAUAUUUAGAAUCAAGGGUUUGCCAUGCAUGUGCACAAAGGUCCUAUCUCUAUUGUGCAAUUAAUUAAUAAUUUUUUGGUCCCCAUUAGGAGAAUAAGCAUAUAACAAACUUUAGCAUGAGGUGAUAAUAGAAGUAGAAGGUUGGAAUCUCAUACGUGAGAAAAUAAUGGUCAGCAGAUACAUGGCGAAUGCAGUCUAACGUGUGAACAAGGCUGUUUGUCACCUUGCAUAAAGUAUAGAUUGUCAUAGAAAAUCGUGAUCUCAUAAAGGAGGGGAGAGGAGGGUUUUGUCAACAGAGAUGACCUGACACAAGGGUAUAAACUUUUUAUGCAUACACAUAAUUAAGGCAUGGACCUGGAAGUUUGGGUUAUGGAAGCAAUUUCCUGCUGUUCCAUGUUCAUUUUGAACCAAUGAUUUAAAUGAUUUAUUUGUUCAGCCAUAUAGUUCUAUCUCAUUUAAUACAUAUCAUCCAAUAUGGUUGCCACAUGCCAGCAUGAUAAAGGGAGUGCACAUCUAGCAAGUUUGUAUCCGUAGAGCCCCAAUAUUGGGCCAUACAUGGUGUAUAGGCCAAUACAGCAGGACACAUGGUCAGCUCAUAAAUACAAUUAAAUGAACUCAAAUUCUAUCAUCUCACUAUAGUUUCAAUUGCUGUUUUUCAUCUUCAAAUCCUCACUAAUCAAUUUUGAGCUUAUUGUCUUUAUUUUGUUGGUUUACACCCAAAAAUGACAAUAAAAAUUAGUUUCUGGAUAGGAUUUCAACAAAAAUAUGAGUGUUUAUGCCUACAUGGCAAGUUGAUUGACAAUUGACAAGAAUAUUUAUUAUAAUGUAGGAUGUUAGUUUGGUAUAGAUGAGGCAAAAAUCAAAUUUGAUAAUCAAAAAAUCUACAAAUGUUUCCCAGAAAGCAAUUAAAAACAUAGUAAAAGUUAAACAGAUAAUAUUUCAGCACCCAUAUUAACAAGCUACUCACAUAUCUCCUGACAAUAACACAAUCUUCCAAUUGUGGGGUAUAUCAUGUGUCUAAAUGACACAAUGCAAUGUGUAUGUCUUUGGCUCUAAUAUGAACAAGCAGGACAUGUGAUGUACCUUCAUUUGUUAAUCAUCUAAAAUUCAAUGCAUAGGCAAAAUAGGUAAUUGAUUGAAAACCAACAAUAUCUAUUUGUGUAGACAAUUAUAUGUACAUAGUAUGUGUAGAGAGAGAGACAGAGAGAAAUCUUAGAAUUAUAGUUUCUUUUUGCAAUAGUUAUCUGGUAUACAAAGGUGACAAAAAAAAAAAAACUCCAUUCAAUUUUACACUAGUGAAGAGCCACAAAUAGGUCUGUUUUAUAAAGUAAACACCUUUAUGCAGAAAUACACCCAUAAGUUUUAAAUUUGUACUAGAAAACAAAAUGGUAGAAAGAAAAAGAAAGAAAAAGAAUCAGCAAAUGAAAAUUGCUAGCAGGUUAUGAGGACAUCUAGACAAGCUUUGCGUAACAAUGAUGGUAAGGAAAAGCAAUGAUGAACUUAAUGAGAAUUAGAGAGGAAAAGAUCUUAUUAGCAUUAUGUCUAACUAAACCUAGCCUCAUAAGAUUUCUAUGAUUACUACGCAUAAUGACCCAAAAACCUGACCAAGGACAAGAACAGCAAGACUUCAAGAGUGGGAAAUUAAAAUGGUUGUCUUGUAUAACUAGAAAUUCAAACAUUAAUAUACCUUUAAAAACCCAUUUAUUAAAGUUUCAAAAGUAAGAAAUUGCAGAAAAGGAUAUGAAUUAACUAAUUAUCAGAUUGGAAGUUUAGGCAAGAAAAGAGAUCAGACGGGUUAAUGGUGAGGGCUCCACUGUGAAGACAUACUAAUGCCAUGCAAUCCUGAUUAAUGGUAGAUAUGGUGUAGGGGAGUUCAAAGGCUAAUCUGAAAAUCACUUAAAAAAUCUAGUUUUCUGUCAGACGUAGAGGUCUUGGUUGAAGAACAUACGACCCUGAGAAGUAUGAAUUGCAUUUGACCUAAAAAGAAGCCUGCACAAGAUAAACAGUGAUUUUUUUCCGCAACAACUCAUUCAUUUCAGGGUGGUCAAAUAUGGGAAAAGGCUGCAGGCAAUUCAAGCAUUUCCUUGGGCAAGGCCUAAAUUCACUGAAACAAUGGAGAAAAUCCCUUGACCACCAAGGAAGAAUGCCCUAUCACUACCUGGAGAUCAGUUGAUGGAGGAUAAUCUGAAAGAAGGGGAAAAUUCGUGAACCUGCAAGGGCAUGAUGAAAUGCCAUAAAGUAAUAUUCAAAAUUACUGUGAGCUGGGGCAUGUUUCUGCAUGUCUAUAGUGAGGAUAUCAGAAUAAGUGAUUUCCAUAGAAAUUAGAUGCAUUUCAAUCAUGUAUAAAAGGUCCUUUAACUUAGAGCAUGAUACACACCUC